rnacentral:lncRNA from 1 species
AAAUCAAACCGUGCUUUUGCAAAAAAUUAUCGUAAUUUACAUCAUGAUAGUACAACUCAGACCACAGGACAACACGCCUCAUGCCGAGCACAGUCCUGAGACACCUUACUUGCCAGGGACAAAGUUGGUGGCGAACGCCCAUGCAUUGUUGUUGACGGGGUCGGCGAUGUGGUCAGUGAGGUUCUCGAGUGGGCCCUUGCCUGUGACGAUAGCUUGGACAAAGAAGCCAAACAUUGAGAACAUGGCAAGGCGACCGUUCUUGAUCUCCUUCACCUUGAGCUCGGCAAAUGCUUCAGGGUCUUCGGCCAAGCCAAGAGGGUCGAAGCUGCCGCCUGGGUAGAGUGGGUCGACGAUCUCACCGAGUGGGCCGCCAGCAACGCGGUACCCCUCGACGGCACCCAUGAGCACGACCUGGCAUGCCCAAAUAGCAAGGAUGCUUUGUGCAUGGACGAGGCUGGGGUUGCCGAGGUAGUCGAGAGAUUUGGGAGCCGGUCUUGAACCAAACAGCCUCACCGAAGGUGACGCCGUUGCAGGCGAGCAACUCAGGGAAGACACAACCAAGUGCCCCGAGCAUGGCCCAGCGGCAAUGGAUCACCUCCAGCUCCCGGUUCUUGGCGAAGGUCUCAGGGUCAGCUGAAAGUCCGGUAGUGUCCCACCCAUAGUCGCCAGGGAACUCACCUGUCAGGUAGCUCGGGGGCUCACCAGAGAGUGGCCCGAGGUAGAGCACACGGUCAGCGCCGUACCAUGGGCUGCCAGAGGAAACCUGCUUCGCCUUCGCUGCAGUCUUGCGCAUGGUGACGCGGGCCUCACCAAAGAGAGCCGAAGAUGGUACAUUCUGCACCGCCUUGCCGGCAAAGGUCGAGGUGGAGAGGGACAUGGUGGCUGCCACCAUUGCAAAGCUAAGAAGAGUGUUAGCUGUAUGGGUUCUCAAAGAGAUGAGUGAGUGUGGAGAUGAUUUGAUAGAAGAGGGGGAGGUGGCCGGCUACUUAAGGGAGCAUGAGGUGUCAUAGGGAAUCCAUUUGGUGUGCAAUCUGACAAGAUAAACAAGGAUAGAGAGAAAAAUCUUGAGCUUUGCUGCCAUUGGUGGUGCAUAGAUCUCUUGCUCUCACAACACUUGGCACAGCGAGAGCCAGGAGAAAUGAGUAUUGCUGUGAACUUGUGGCUAGAAGUGGCUGUGACUGGAUUUCGUUGGAGACAGCUGAUUGGAUUUAAGUGCAUGUGUGAGUGAGACCUGCAUGGUUCGCAUGCACUAGAAAGCAUCGCGCGGCGUCACACCAGGCACACUCGGGCGAGCCGUUGCGUUCAUGUAUCUUUUAGAUUUCAGAAAAUCAAAAUAGGAAGUACCAUCUCCUCUUGGUAGAAUGUCACAUUCUUGAGCCAAAUGCCAUACAUAAAGCUAGAUAUAUCCAUUUUUUACCAUAAUGAAAAAUGUAGGUCCAUCUUAAUUUGUCAUUCAACUGACAAAUAAAAUCAAUUUAUUCCAAUUUACAUCUGAAUAUUCUAUAUAUUUUAGUUUAAUGUAGAGACUCAUUAUACUGCUACUGAAAUAAAACAAGUUAUAUAUGCUUGGUAAAAAAAGAUUAGUAAUUUAACGUUAAAAAAAUGUGCCUCCAUUCAUAGUAAAUAUUGAACAAAAGAAAAAUUCAAAUUGUGUAACAUUACCAUAUAAAUUUGGAAAAAUGAUGGAGAAGGUUAUUUCUACACGAAAAAAUGUCAGUUUAAGCAGAAGUGUUCGCUCUUCUCCUGGGUAAAUAUGCAUCCAGGAUGAAUAGCAAAUUUUGAAAAACUAGUAAACAUUUUUUUUUGUGAUAAACAUUUUUGAAUGGUUUACUAACAUGCAAAUAAGUUUCAUGAUGGAAAAACAUCCGUGGAGGCCUGGACAGAAAAUUCAGUGUUCCAAAGUGCUUAAAAAGAUGCCCUUUUUGGAAUAUCAUUUUUUUUCAGACCUCAUGAAUGUUUUUCAGCAUGAAUUUUCAAAACGCAUUCAACACUUUUUGUCUAAAAAAGUCCAGAUUUCUCUUGAAAUUGUUUCCUAUUUCUUCUGUCCAAAUUUACGAUGCACCCAAGUGCAGUUUAAGUUGUUAUUUCCCAGGGAUAACGUAUGCUUUUAUACCUUUGUUUUUAUUUGAGCCUAGAUGACCAUAUAAAUUGCAUGUGUGGUCACACAUAAUAUUAUUGUUUCACUAUAUUGCAAUUUAUUCACAUACUUCAAAACAUCAGUGUUAAGUCAAAUUCAUCUACGUGCUUAUAAUUUUCACUUAUAAAUAUGUAUGUUUGAUUUGUAUAUGUGUAGCUCUUAAAUUAUGGCAGGAAUCUCAUUACAAAAAUUAUAAGUCAAAGAUCUCGAGAAAGAAAAUCUUAGCACAUGCUCCCCACCUCUCUAACGUCGUUGAUUCUCAUGUCACCGGUCAGCCUAUCUUUUGUGUUUUGGUGAUGAUCAUGUACAACAAUUAUAUUGUGCAAUAAAACCUUAGUUAUUUAAAAUAUUUUAAUAGCUAUCUUUUGUAAAAGUAUAUUUUAUUGUCUAUCUACUCUUAUAUGCUUUAAGAAGAAUAACAAUAAUUUUUAUUUGGUUUAUAAUAAAAAUGACACAAAACAGAGACAAGUGUUGCCUAUCAAUCUCCGCCUCCAGUUCUUUGCCACCCACUGCAAUAUCAGCGUCAGCGACCGCCUCUUGCACCCCUCCUCGACUAAAUUGACUAUUUCCCGACGGUUACAUUGCCUUCUCACUUUAGACAACAACGCCCUAGACCCCUAGUGGUAAACCAAACCACUUGGUUGGGCUGGCAGGGAGAUAUGAAAAAUCAUCAAUGAGGUAUAAUUGGCCACACUGCCUUUGUUGGAAACUAAGAAACAAAAGCAAGACAUGACCCCUGCAAUUGGCCGAAUUUCGUAUUUUGACCCUUUUAGCAAAGAUUUCCAGGAUCUGACCCUAGUUCAAUUUUUUUUGGGAUCUGACCCUUUUGCUACCGCCACGGGGCUCGGCGGUAGGGUCAGGCAUCCUACCGGUAGCAAAGACGGCCACAGCCGUCAACUAACGGCCAGCACACCAUCCUACCGCCAAAGGCCUCGGCGGUAGGUUAUGGGACCCUACCGCCAGAUGCCUGGUUUUUUUGCUUGCGAACAUGCUGUAACCUAAAAACGCAAAACCCUGGCGGUAGGUUAUGAGACCCUACGGCCAGGGUGCUUGGCGGUAUGGUAUGUGGUUUUGCAUGUUUUAAUGCUUGUUUCUUUUCUAAAAUUUUAUCAUAGCAAAGAAUACAAUACAAUAUAUAUUUAAGAGCCUAAAAUAUGCAGAGCUCACACAAUAUAACAUGUAUCACACUCGAGAUAUUAAUAAAAGUUCAACUAAUAGACAUGUCACACAUAGCAAAUUGUAGCAAACGGUUCCACAUAGUUUCACAAAUAGCAAAUAGCAAACGAUUCCACAUAGUUUGACAACCCCAACUAACACAAGUAGUUUCACAAAGCCAACUAAAACAAGUAGGCUAACAAGCCAAGACCACAAUCACGUGCUUCUUCCCCUCUUGGAGGUACAGUCCUCGUUGUUCUUUGAACGAGUCUCUUGAGGCUUCUUCUUGCGUCCUCCUCGAGGAAUCGGUUUCUAGAAUGGGGAUGGACUCUGCCAAUCCUUCUUUGGCUUAUUCCUCUUCGGAAGCUGAGAUGGUUGAGUUGGUGGAGGUCUGUAUUCUUCAUCGUACUCCUCAUUCCCAUUGCUCUCCUCCUCCUCACUACUAGGGAAAAGCCUAUACACAGAAUCUUACAGGCAGCACGCUUUAAAAUAAGGCGCUGCUGCUAACUAGCAGUAGCGCGCGCACAAAACUCGCUGGUGAAAUAAAUGUAUCAGUAGCGCGCCCGCUCUAAGACGCGAUACUGCUAUAAUUGCCACGACGCUGCCGCGAGGCUAGUUCUAGCAGCAACGCGUUAAUAUAAAGGGCGCUACUGCUACGGAUCAUAGCAGUAGCGCAUUUACACAAUAACCGCUACUGCUAAGUUUACUACAAAAAUUUAGUCCCACCUCGCUUCGUGAAGAGAGUUUGUACCACCUUAAAUAUGUUGCUUCUCAAACUUUCACAAGCACUUGGUCUUCAUUGAACUCUAUGUGUAGAAUUUGUGGCCGCAUGUGACACCCAAGUUUUUAUUGGAUUUUUCAAAAGAUUUUUAUUUGACUUAAAGGGAGUGAUUUAAAAAUUUUCUUCAAGAGAACUCUCACUCUCAAAUAUUUUCCUUUAUGGCAAAAAUUUUAUUUGGAUUCACCCAAGAUCUGCCUUUGACCUUGGGGGUUCUUGCUCUUCAUUUGGGCUCAAGACAAAAUGUUUUUCAUUUGAGAGGGUAACUUUUGAAAACCUUUUCUUGAAUUUGCACUAUGGCUUUUGGAAAGUCCUUUGCCACUUUCAACUAUUCCUUCUUGCCAUGGCAUUAGUGCAAAUCCUCUCUCCUAACCCUUCCCUCACCUUUGGAUCAUGAUUUGCAUCAAAUCCAGCAAGUUGAACCUCCCCAUGUGAUCAUUUCCAUUCAAAUUCUAUUCAAAUAAAUUUCUGUCCUCUCUUAUAGCACUUGGAGAUUUACAAAGGAACUCCUUUUUCUGUUUUGAUUUUUGCCACCAAACCUUUUUCCCCUCCUAGUCCUUUGAACCCUCAACCUAGAACCAUGAAGAUCCACUGGUCUCCAGUUCAAAAUUUUCAAACUACAUCAGCUGCAAGUUUGGACCAGAUUUGCCAAAUUUGGUGAAAUUCAUUCAAAACUUUCUCCAAAAAUUCCAAGUAAAUUCAUGCAGCCCCUGGGUACUCUGAGUGAUCAUCUCACCAAGUUACAGCUUCAGAAAAAUUUAUCUCUUUACCAAAACCUACUGUCGAACACCUGCAAUGCUUGGUCACUGUCAAGUUUCAGUUAACUUCAGAGUUCAGUCAGUGCUCACUGUCGUUUUCUUCAGAGACGGGCAUCGAUCUCGCCAGUGCCCUCGCGUCGCCUUGCUCCUCGUCCUCGCCCUCUCGUUCCUGCACCGCACGAGUGCCUGGCAUCUUGCGGGCGUCGGCGACGAGCAGCAGAAGGUGCGCCGCCCCGUGACCGACGCCGGCGGCGGCUUUGCGGGCGCCAGCGGGAGACACGGCGCCGCCGACUCCACUCAGCACCGUCCAAACCACCGGAGCCCGCCGCGUGGCCGUCCACUCCCCCGAAUGCGCUGCCGCUCUCGUCGUGAACCCCAGGGCGUGGAGCGCGCUCUCUGCCGCCGUUGAGCCCGUGCGGUCACCUCACCGUGGGCAGACGCCAUUACGCCAAGACCAGCUCCGUUUAGCUGCAAAACGAGUCCCGUAACGUCCACUGAUGCUGCUCGACCGCUCAAACCCUCUGCCAACCCACUGCUCCGCCGUAAUCGCUCGCCGGAGAUUCUCCGUUCACGGCCACCCCGUCGAUCUGCCUAUAAAUAGGGGCCCCGAGCUUCAACUCGAGCACCCACCAGCCCUACACUUCCCCUAGAGCACGCCUAGCCACUGGAAGAGCCCCGAGGAGGUCUUCUUCCUCGACUCCGGCCGCCGCGAUCCGCCACGGGAUCCAGCCCGAUUCGCCCCCGUGUGUGCUCCGCAGCCUCCAUUCUCUUGCCAGUAGCUUCACCUUGCAUCACCCGUUCUGACCCGCGCCUCAAUUCGUACUUUGCAGCCCUCCACCGGAGUUCCCCAACCUCACCCGAACCGCCGUCCGCCGGAGAUAGUGUCGCCGUCGACGUGGUGCUCCCCGUUGGACGAGUCCACCACCCACCGACGCGGAAGAAGGCACUGAAGCUCUUGGUACCCUCCGUUUCCCCUAACUCGCCGUGGUUCGACGCCGGCGUCCAUCGCCGUCUUCGGGCGCCGGCGAGCUUUCAAACCUGACAUGCGGGCCCCGCGUGUCAGCCUCUGUUUUAUUUUCCCCGAACCGUUUUCUGUUGGCGCCUUCGGGCAAAAUACGUUUUCUCCUUGCGCUUGCGCAUUCCCAGCCGAAGCGUUUUCUGUUUUCUCAGUUAAAACCCUGGAACUUUUCUGUUUCAUUACACAAAGGUCCCUGGACAGAAACCUUUAUAACUUUUUAAUAAAAAGGUAUUUUUGAGUGAUUCUUUUUCUGUCAAACUCCAAGUUUUGUCUAGUUUUUUAUGGGAUUUAUUUGAAAAAUAUUUGGCAAGGUUUCUGUGUGUGUGUGUUGGUUUUCACGUUAGUACCCGUUUCGUGAUUGCCGUAGGUUCCGGGAGAGGGGACGGAGCCGCGAACUUCGCCGAGCUAGACUCCGACUUCUCCGAACCAGGCAAGCAUGUUUGAACAUUUGAUAUGGCAGAUGUUUUGCAUGUUCAUGUGAAAGUUUGUGCGUGGCAUGUGAGUGUCGAUAAGUACCUCGUUGCUUGUAAGGCAACGAUCCGGUUGUUCCGAAGUUGCGAUGACCUCUGAUGAGAGGUGGCCUAAUCAUGUAGUGACAUGAAGGGCAGCAAGGUGGUACUGUUGUAGCAUGCCAGCCUUGCGUCAUCCGAUUCUCUUCGACGUUAACGUGGUUGGAGCCACGUUAUCGAUCUUUUCCCGCAUGUUCCAAAGUUGCGAUGACCUCUGAUGAGAGGUGGCCUAAUCAUGUAGUGACAUGAAGGGCAGCAAGGUGGUACUGUUGUAGCAUGCCAGCCUUGUGUCAUCCGACUUUUCCGACGUUAACAUGGUUGGAGCCGUGUUAUCGUCCCUUCCCCUUUCCGUGCUACCACAUGUCUCAUUGCCAGGAUACGGUUUAGUAAGUUGGUAACCUCUUUCCGUGUACACACCAAACAGAGAGGCCGGGAUGAUGGUACCUUGGCCCAGGAUUAAAGCCAGUCAUUCGGUCAGGGGGCAUGGGUGUUUCCGGUUGGGACCGAGAGGGGGGGCACCCCCUUAUAGCGCGCGUAUAGAAAUUUGAUCCCAUGCUACGCGAGGUUGUAGCCUCCCCGACUCAGGGUUUUUCCUGAAUGUUGCCGAGGGUGAUCCCUGGCUUCGGAUGGUUAAAUUGGGUGUGUACUGGUUAGACGUGUUCCUUCCAGAACACCGUAGACGGAACUAGUCCCCGUGACUACUGAAAUCCGUUGGCUGUGGUUAAGUACAAACUCUGCAGAGUCAAUUCUUUCCAAAUCAUCGUAUCCAUGAUCAGUAAUGUAGACUUUAUAUCCAAAUCUAUUCGUGUGAAAACUUGCCCCCGGUGAACAAGCUCAAGUGGUAAAUUCAAUUUCAUUGUUAUUCCUGUGGAUGGACUAACAUUAUAUUUGUCUCGUGCUUGUGAUAAAUUAUAUCCCCGAACUAUUGUAUUGUUGUGUUACAAUAUAAGCCCUUUAUGUGACGUCGCGCAGACGUCCGACUGCGGCAUGCACUGUCUUUACUUUCUGUUAUAAGCCCUUUAUGUGGUGUCGCCCCGACGCCCGACUGUGGCAUUAUUGUUCCGCAUUUUCCGCUCGAGGAGUCUUUCAAACACUCGUUUGGCACCUGUAUUAUUAUUCCGCAUUUUCCGCUCGAGGAGUCUUUCUGACACUCGUUUGGCACCUGUAUUAUUAUUCCGCAUUUUNNNNNNNNNNGACUCAGGGUUUUUCCUGAAUGUUGCCGAGGGUGAUCCCUGGCUUCGGAUGGUUAAAUUGGGUGUGUACUGGUUAGACGUGUUCCUUCCAGAACACCGUAGACGGAACUAGUCCCCGUGACUACUGAAAUCCGUUGGCUGUGGUUAAGUACAAACUCUGCAGAGUCAAUUCUUUCCAAAUCAUCGUAUCCAUGAUCAGUAAUGUAGACUUUAUAUCCAAAUCUAUCCGUGUGAAAACUUGCCCCCGGUGAACAAGCUCAAGUGGUAAAUUCAAUUUCAUUGUUAUUCCUGUGGAUGGACUAACAUUAUAUUUGUCUCGUGCUUGUGAUAAAUUAUAUUCCCGAACUAUUGUAUUGUUGUGUUACAAUAUAAGCCCUUUAUGUGACGUCGCGCAGACGUCCGACUGCGGCAUGCACUGUCUUUACUUUCUGUUAUAAGCCCUUUAUGUGGUGUCGCCCCGACGCUCGACUGUGGCAUUAUUGUUCCGCAUUUUCCGCUCGAGGAGUCUUUCAGACACUCGUUUGGCACCUGUAUUAUUAUUCCGCAUUUUUCGCUCGAGGAGUCUUUCUGACACUCGUUUGGCACCUGUAUUAUUAUUCCGCAUUUUCCGCUCGAGGAGUCUUUCUGACACUCGUUUGGCACCAGUAUUACUAUUCUGCAGUUUCCGCUCGAGGCGUCAUUCAGACCCUCGCUUGGCACCCAGUAUUUAUUAUCUCUGUGUCUGAUCGCACUGGUUAACUUAUUCAUGUGCUUCAUGUUUGCAUUUGUGAUACCGUAUGUCCGAACUGUCUUGCGAGUACUUUCAUAGUACUCACCUGGCUUGUUGAUUUGGCCAGAUGCUGACGAAGGCGAUCUCUUGGAUGAAGAGUUUGAUAGUGCGUCCGACGCCUAGAGGAGUCCCAGUCAGUCCUGCGCGAUCCCGGAUAUUGGUCACUUGUAUCGUUUACGCUUCCGCCACCCGCAAUAAGUCAUCUCGAGCCUCACUCCGACGCUCGAAGAGUUGUAGUAUUCUGGAAUCAUGUCACCCGCUUCGCGAUGAUAUUUCCACCACCGUUAUUAUCGUGAGUUAGAAGUUUGCCACCCUAUCCGCCGUAUUGUUUUAUCGGCGUGCUUGUAAUAAAUUGUUGGGCAGCCUCUGCUCAACUUUGUAUUAUAUUUAGUACUCCUGGUAUUUUUCUUCUGUGACCAAUGUAUUGUCUAUCAGUGAGAAGGAAUUCUUCCUCGCUGGUCCGUAACAGGGAUUGGUUUCUCAAUAAUUAUUUUAUUGAAAAACCGGUCGUGACAANNNNNNNNNNUCGAGGAGUCUUUCUGACACUCGUUUGGCACCUGUAUUAUUAUUCCGCAUUUUCCGCUCGAGGAGUCUUUCUGACACUCGUUUGGCACCAGUAUUACUAUUCUGCAGUUUCCGCUCGAGGCGUCAUUCAGACCCUCGCUUGGCACCCAGUAUUUAUUAUCUCUGUGUCUGAUCGCACUGGUUAACUUAUUCAUGUGCUUCAUGUUUGCAUUUGUUAUACCUUAUGUCCGAACUGUCUUGCGAGUACUUUCAUAGUACUCACCUGGCUUGUUGAUUUGGCCAGAUGCUGACGAAGGCGAUCUCUUGGAUGAAGAGUUUGAUAGCGCGUCCGACGCCUAGAGGAGUCCCAGUCAGUCCUGCGCGAUCCCGGAUAUUGGUCACUUGUAUCGUUUACGCUUCCGCCACCCGCAAUAAGUCAUCUCGAGCCUCACUCCGACGGUCGAAGAGUUGUAGUAUUCUGGAAUCAUGUCACUCGCUUCGCGAUCAUAUUUCCACCUCCGUUAUUAUCGUGAGUUAGAAGUUUGCCACCCUAUCCGCCGUAUUGUUUUAUCGGCGUGCUUGUAAUAAAUUGUUGGGCAGCCUCUGCUCAACUUUGUAUUAUAUUUAGUACUCCUGGUAUUUUUCUUCUGUGACCAAUGUAUUGUCUAUCAGUGAGAAGGAAUUCUUCCUCGCUGGUCCGUAACAGGGAUUGGUUUCUCAAUAAUUAUUUUAUUGAAAAACCGGUCGUGACACCGCAAUAUGAGUCUUCACCAGUUCCUAAACUGGUGAGGACUCAUAUUGACAAAUCAGAUUGUACACAAAAAGAUCAUUGAUGAUCAAUGUAUUUUUGAUGUCUAUUUUUACAUGCUGACACAUAGCAGUAGCGCAUUCUUUGUGAAAGGCGCUACUGCUAGGUCGUUCAGCAGUAGCGCCUUUUGCUAUAGCGCGCUACUGCUAAGCCAUUCCAUCUCCCCCCGACUCACUCUCCUCUAUCCAAUCCACUCACUCGAUCUCCCCCUCAACCCCCCACUCCGGUCCUCCCCCCUCGCCCCUCCUCCGAUCUGCGCCGCCGUCACCUCCUCCUCCUCGCUGGACUCGGUACCGGCCUCCUCCUCCGUCCUCCCUCCAGUCACCGCUAGCCGGCCCUCCUCGCUCCGCCUUCCUCCUCCGUCCUCCCUCCACUCGCCGUCGGCCGGCCCCUCCUCGCUCCUUCUUCCUCCUCCAUCCUACUCUCUUCUCCCUCCUCGAGUCGCCCCUCCUUCUCCCUCCCUCCUCCAUCCACAACCCCUCCUCCCUGCUACAUUUUGAUUUAGUAGGUUAGUUGAUUUAGAACAUUUUGAUUUAGUUGAUUUAGUAUGCUAGUUGAUUUAGUAGGCUAGUUGAUUUAGUUGAUUUAGUAAGCACCAUUUUAUUGUUAUUUUUUCUGUACAUGGAUAGGUAGAUGCUUUUGUUUUUUUGUAAUAAGUUAUUUUUUGGCAAAAUGUAGGUGCCAAUUUAGUUAAAUUUGCCACUUGUUUUUUAUCAAUUAUCUUAGGCAAUAGGGGCCAAAUUAGAUGAAAUGUCUUGGUAGGUGGUACCCUUAUUUGGUAGAUAUUUGUGAAAAGUUUUUUCGGCAAUAGGUGCCACCGAAAUGCUUUGGUAGGUGGUACCUUGUCAUCUAUGUUACUAGAUCUUAGGAUUAUAAUUGUCCAUAAAAUUGCUUCUCGCGGAAGAACCAAAAAUAUCACAUGCUACUGUUUUUCUUUCCUGUGAAGUGAAUCGUUAAUCCUUUGCUCAUAUUGCUUUAGGAAAAUGGCACCACCACCACCACCACUAUGUCGACUGUGCAAGUCAAGGUGCACCAGCAGCCUUGCAACUGGCAAGCUGUUCGGCAUCUACUUCCAGCCGAGUUUUCGUCAUGCGGCGGUAAGACAUUAGAUGAAAUGUAACAACUAUUUUAUUUUUAGUGUUGGUAUUACUGCAUUGUGUCAUUUUGCUUUUUUACACAGAUCGUCCCAUGCAAUGUGAGGUUGAAAUUCAACAAGCUGACAAAACACACUGUGACAUUUGAGGCUCCUGGGGGGCCGUACACUAUGGAGGUCGAGAAAGGACGCAAUAUGUCGCAGAUUGGAGGAGAUGGAUGGGACCGUUUCCUUGCCCGCAUGCGUCUUACUGGUGAUGAGUUGAUCAGCUUCUCCUUCAGAGAAGAAAGACCCAAGCUGGCUGUCAUUUAUCUUAACCUGGUGGAAGAUGAUGAAGAUGACGAAGAUGAUGAAGAUAAUGAGGACCCACUCGAUGAAGAUGAUGAGAACCCACUUCAUGAAGCCAUCAUAGCUCAAAGAAUGAGGCUGAGCAAGGAGGAGGUGUGCAACCUAUGGGACAUAAUUCCGCCACGUGAUGACUUUGUCGGGGUGCCAUUCGUGACCCGCCUGACAAGUACCAUGGUCGAUCGGCAUGAAAUGGUAUGUUAUACGUACUGACGGUAGUAAUUUGAUGAUAUAUAUAUGCUUUAUUGUUAUACUUACAAAUGCAAAUUAUCCGAUGAUAUGCUUAGUGAAUCCGAUGAUAUGCUUAGUGUAGAGUCCAAUGAUAUGCUUUGUGGAAUCUAGUCGAUGAUAUGCUUUAGUGUAGAGUCUGAUCACAUGCUUAUUAGUGUAGAAUCCAAGGAACUAUUAAUAGUGUAGAUAAUCCAUAUAUACUUAUUAGUAGAAUUCAUGAUUAGUUAGUACAAAUGCGUAGUACUGUGUCUUUUGAUAGUGUAGAAAUCUAGACUGAAUAGAAAUAUAUUUGCAAGAGUAUGUGCGAGGCUAUUUAUUAAUUAAUAUGUUUUUCUUAUUCGGAAAUUGCCAAAGAACCUAUCUGUGAGUUGUGGUAUCGAGCCUGAUGAAGAAGGCUCAGCUGGACUACGCCUUACCGCAAGGGGCUCCGUCACCACCUGUACUUACCGCAUGGACACAAACGGUCGCACACACUUAAACUCGGUUGGGUGGAAGAGAUUCCUUGUUGGCAAGAAUCUUCGUGUUGGACAGGCCAUCCUAAUUACUAUCAGGAACACACACCGCCCAGGCUUGAGGAUGAUGAUCGUCGUCGAUAUCAUCUAGAACUACAUAUGUGUGUGUGGCUAUAUCAUGUAGAACUACAUAUGAUGAUCGUCGUCGAUAUCAUGUAGAAUUACAUAUGAUGAUCGUCGUCGAUAUCAUCUAGAACUACAUAUGAUGAUCGUCGUCGAUAUCACCUUGUACUACUUGAGGAUGCAUGUUGAGUAUAUAUGAAAUUGUUAUCUAGUACUCCCUCCGUUCCAAAUUACUCGUCGUGGUUUUAGUUCAAAUUUGAACUAAAACCACGACGAGUAAUUUGGAACCGAGGGAGUACUACCUAGUACCUAUAAUGCUUUAUGAAAUUGAUAUCUAGUAGUACCUAGUAUCUGGAAAUUGUAGUUUAUUGAAGCUGAAACGGGGUAGGAAGCCGGGGGGAAAUGAUGAAAGAUGUAGCAGUAGCGCGGGGCCAGAAAUCGCUACAGCUAAUUAAUAGCAGCGCGUCCCAGAAAAGCGCUGCUGAUAUAGUCCAUAGUAGUAGCGCGGGUACAGACCGCGCUACUACUAACAGUUAGUUGUAAUGCCUCAUAGCCUCAAAACCCGCGCUGCCCGCGCUGCUGAUAGCCUCAAAACCCGCGCUGCUGCUAGGCUUUUCCCUAGUAGUGCCUCUUCUUCUUCAUGGGCCUCCUCCUCCUCAACCAACCUAGCCGACGAGGAAGCAUGGCUCGAUGAAGCGAUGUUACCCUGUGUGCCUGCAUGAUCAUGAGCUUCAACCGAGCCAGCGCACCCAAGCAGGCGUACCAGCUUGCGACAAUGCUUCACGAACUUCUGCACUCAUAAUGAAACAAGGACAUAACACGGAUCAGAUUUAUGAUUGCAAAUGAACAAGAACAUAGGGUAUUUCUAGGUGGCUGAAAUGUUACCUUCAUUGUCUCCCUCAUGAUGUUCUCAGAAUCUCCGGUCCCGGGGGAACCACCUGGUGCAUCUGGGCCAUCAAAGAUGCAUCCGUUCAGCUCGCCGGACUGUAAAGGCAUAAGUGAGUCACAAUGACGAAUAAAAUAAAUUACAUACAACCGCCGGUUCAAGACAGAAGAACACAACUUACCACUCUGUUGAUCAGGGGUGCAAACUCCCUAAAUCCACUCAUGUCUCUGAUGCUAGCCUGGUAGGCCUCUUCCUUGGGGGCAUCCAUCUCCAGCUCCGUGAUAUCUUCUGUCAUCCACCGAGGCCUGAGACGAAGACGGUGCUUCUGGCCAUCAUCGUACCACCUCAUGUGUUGGGCAUAAUCAUCCCAGUCAAGCACCCGCCUCUCCCCAUCUUUACGCCACCUGUGCCGGUUCCACUCUGUCACAAAAGUUUUAUGCUCCUCUCCACAGUCUGUGAUCGACUGAUUUUUCUUUCGGCUCUUUCUACAAGGCAUAAACAACACAAAACAUCAUAAGAACGUCAAACACAACGAAAUCAUGGUAACGGAGAACAAUGCACUCACAAGUGGGGUUCGUGGCCACUUGUAUGGUUCGGCAUGCCCGGUGGUGUAUGCUGGUAGACCCGAAAUUGCGCGGCCACACGGUGUGGCAAGUGCCACUCGACGGCGUACACACAUAGCAUGGGCACCAUGCACUGCCAAAGACUCCUGUCCUGCUCGCACAUCACGUUCAUCUCGAACCCCCACUCUCGGUCAUAAUAUGGCCAUCAGUUUACCUAUCGCACAAACAUUGGUAUGUUCCCGAUGAAAGUGGCCUCAAAGAGAAAGAUAAGCUAGUUCAUAUACCUGCGAAGUGUUGGUAAUCGUAGCAUAAUUUUAAAAUUUUCCUACGUUUACCAAGAUGCAUCUAUGGAGUAUACUAGCAACGAGGGGAAGGGAGUGCAUCUACAUACCCUUGUAGAUCGCGAGCGGAAGCGUUCCAAUGAACGUGGAUGACGGAGUCGUACUCGCCGUGAUCCAAAUCACCGAUGACCGAGUGCCGAACGGACGGCACCUCCGCGUUCAACACACGUACGGUGCAGCGACGUCUCCUCCUUCUUGAUCCAGCAAGGGGGAAGGAGAGGUUGAUGGAGAUCCAGCAGCACGACGGCGUGGUGGUGGAUGUAGCGGGUCUCGGCAGGGCUACGCCGAGCUUCUGCGAGACGGAGAGGUGUAACAGGGGAGGAGGGAGGCGCCCAAGGCUGUAGGUUGCUGCCCUCCCUCCCCCCCCUUUAUAUAGGCCCCCUUGGGAGGGGGGGCCGGCCAAAACCCAUCUAGGGUUGGGGGGCGGCGGCCAAGGGGUGGAAAGGGGUGCCUUGCCCCCCAAGGCAAGGGGGAAGUCCCCCCACCCUAGGGUUCCCAACCCUAGGCGCAUGGGGGGAGGCCCAAGGGGGGCGCCCAGCCCACUAGGGGCUGGUUCCCUUCCACUUUCAGCCCAUGGGGCCCUCCGGGAUAGGUGGCCCCACCCGGUGGACCCCCGGGACCCUUCCGAAGGUCCCGGUACAAUACCGGUAACCCCCGAAACUUUCCCGGUGGCCGAAACUUGACUUCCUAUAUAUAAUUCUUCACCUCCGGACCAUUCCGGAACCUCUCGUGACGUCCGGGAUCUCAUCCGGGACUCCGAACAACUUUCGGGUUUCCGCAUACAUAUAUCUCUACAACCCUAGCGUCACCGAACCUUAAGUGUGUAGACCCUACGGGUUCGGGAGACAUGCAGACAUGACCGAGACGCCUCUCCGGUCAAUAACCAACAGCGGGAUCUGGAUACCCAUGUUGGCUCCCACAUGUUCCACGAUGAUCUCAUCGGAUGAACCACGGUGUCGAGGAUUCAAUCAAUCCCGUAUGCAAUUCCCUUUGUCAAACGGUAUGUUACUUGCCCGAGAUUCGAUCGUCGGUAUCCCAAUACCUUGUUCAAUCUCGUUACCGGCAAGUCUCUUUACUCGUAUCGCAAUGCAUGAUCCCGUGACUAACGCCUUAGUCACAUUGAGCUCAUUAUGAUGAUGCAUUACCGAGUGGGCCCAGAGAUACCUCUCCGUCACACGGAGUGACAAAUCCCAGUCUCGAUCCGUGCCAACCCAACAGACACUUUCGGAGAUACCCGUAGUGCACCUUUAUAGUCACCCAGUUACGUUGUGACGUUUGGCACACCCAAAGCACUCCUACGGUAUCCGGGAGUUGCACGAUGUCAUGGUCUAAGGAAAAGAUACUUGACAUUGGAAAAGCUCUAGCAAACGAAACUACACGAUCUUUUAUGCUAUGCUUAGGAUUGGGUCUUGUCCAUCACAUCAUUCUCCUAAUGAUGUGAUCCCGUUAUCAACGACAUCCAAUGUCCAUGGUCAGGAAACCGUAACCAUCUAUUGAUCAACGAGCUAGUCAACUAGAGGCUUACUAGGGACAUGGUGUUGUCUAUGUAUCCACACAUGUAUCUGAGUUUCCUAUCAAUACAAUUCUAGCAUGGAUAAUAAACGAUUAUCAUGAAUAAGGAAAUAUAAUAAUAACCAAUUUAUUAUUGCCUCUAGGGCAUAUUUCCAACAGUCUCCCACUUGCACUAGAGUCAAUAAUCUAGUUCACAUCACCAUGUGAUUAACACUCACUGGUCACAUCACCAUGUGACCAACAUCUAAAGAGUUUACUAGAGUCAACAAUCUAGUUCACAUCACUAUGUGAUUAACACUCAAUAUGUUCUGGUUUGAUCAUGUUAUGCUUGUGAGAGAGGUUAUUAGUCAACGGGUCUGAACCUUUCAGAACUGUGUGCUUUACGAAUAUCUAUGUCAUCUUGUGGAUGCUACCACGCGCUAUUUGGAGCCAUUUCAAAUAAUUGCUCUACUAUACGAAUCCGGUUUACUACUCAGAAUCAUCCGGAUUAGUGUCAAAGUUCGCAUCGACGUAACCCUUUACGACGAACUCCUUUCCACCUCCAUAAUCGAGAAAAUUCCUUAAUCCACUAGGUACUAAGGAUAAGUUCGACCGCUGUCAUGAGAUCCUUUCCCGGAUCACUAUUGUACCCUCUUGACCAACUCAUGGCAAGGCACACUACAUGUGCGGUACACAUCAUAGCAUACUAUAGAGCCUACGUCUAAAGCAUAGGGGACGACCUUCGUCCUUUCUCUAUCUUCUGCUAUGGUCAGGUCUUGAGUCUUACUCAAUACUCACACCUUGUAACACAGCCAAGAACUCCUUCUUUGCUGAUCUAUUUUGAACUCUUUCAAAAUCAUGUCAAGGUGUGCUGUCUUUUGAAAGUAUCAUCAGGCGUCUUGAUCUAUCUCUAUGGAUCUUGAUGCCCAAUAUGUAAGCAGCUUUAUCCAGGUCUUCCUUUGAAAAAUUCCUUUCAAACAACCCUUUAUGCUUUCCAGAAAUUUUACAUCAUUUCGGAUCAACAAUAUGUCAUUCACAUAUACUUAUCAGAAAUGUUGUAGCGGUCCCACUCACUUUAUUGUAAAUACAAGUUUCUAACAAACUUUGUAUAAACCCAAAAACUUUGAUCACUCCAUCAAAGCGUAUAUUCUGACUCCGAGAUGCUUGCUCUAAUCCAUGGAAGGGUCGCUGGAGCUAGCAUACCUUUUAGCAUCCUUAGGAUCGACAAAACCUUUCUGAUUGUAUCACAUACAACCUUUCCUUACGAAAACUGGUAAGGAAACUUGUUUUGACAUCCAUCUGCCAGAUUUCAUAAAUGCAGCUAAUGCUAACAUGAUUCCGACGGACCUAAGCAUCGCUACGGAUGAGAAAAACUCAUCGUAGUCAACUCCUUGAACUUGUGAAAAUACUCUUUGCCACAAGUCGAGCUUCAUAGACGGUAACAUUACCGUCCAUGUCUGUCUUCUUCUUAAAGAUCCAUUUAUCUCAAUGGCUUGCCGAUCAUCGGGCAAGUUCACCAAAGUCCACGCUUUGUUCUGAUACAUGGAUUCUAUCUCGGAUUUCAUGGCCUCGAGCCAUUCAUCGGAAUAUGGGCCCACCAUCGCUUCUCCAUAGCUCGUAGGUUCAUUGUUGUCUAGCAACAUGACUUCCAAGACAGGAUCACGCAUUUCUCUGAAGUAGUGCGCAUCCUCGUCGUCCUACGAGGUUUGGUAGUGACUUGAUCCGAAGUUUCAUGAUCACUAUCAUAAGCUUCCACUUCAAUUGGUAUAGGUGCCACAGGAACAACUUCCUGUGCCCUGCUACACACUAGUUGAAGCGACGGUUCAAUAACCUUAUCAAGUCUCCACCAUCCUCCCACUCAAUUCUUUCGAGAGAAACUUUUCCUCGAGAAAGGACUCGUUUCUAGAAGCAAUUACUUUUGCUUCCAGAUCUGAAAUAGGAGGUAUACCCAACUGUUUUUGGGUAUUCUAUGAAGAUGCAUUUAUCCGCUUUGGGUUCGAGCUUAUCAGCCUGAAACUUUUUCACAUAAGCAUCGCAGCCCCAAACUUUUAAGAAACGACAACUUAGGUUUCUCUAAACGGUGUCGUCUCAACGGAAUUGCGUGGUGCCCCUUUUAAAGUGAAUGCGGUUGUCUCUAAUGCCUAACCCAUAAAUGAUAGUGGUAAUAAGAAACAUCAUGGUAUGAACCAUAUCCAAUAGGGUGCAGUUAUGAUGUUCGGACACACCAUCACACUAUGGUGUUCCAGGCGGUAUUAAUUGUGAAACACUUUCCACAAUGUCUCAAUUGUGUGCCAAACUCGUAUCUCAGAUACUCAUCUCUAUGAUCAUAUCACAGACAUUUUAUCCUCUUGUCACGACGAUCUUCAACUUCACUCUCAAAUUACUUGAACCUUUCAAUAAUUCAGACUAGUGUUUCAUCAAGUAAAUACACUCAGCAUCUACUCAAAUCAUCUGUGAAGUAAGAACAUAACGAUAUCCAUUGCAUGCCUCAGCACUCAUUGGACUGCGUACAUCAAAAUGUAUUACUUCCAAUAAGUUGCUCUCUUGUUCCAUCUUACUGAAAACGAGGACUUUCAGUCAUCUUGCCCAUGUGGUAUGAUUUGCAUGUCUCAAGUGAUUCAAAAUCAAGUGAGUCCAAACGAUCCAUCUGCAUGGAGUUUCUUCAUGCAUAUAUAUACCAAUAGACAUGGUUCGCAUGUCUCAAUCUUUUCAAAACGAGUGAGUCCAAAGAUCCAUCUAUAUGGAGCUUCUUCAUGCGUUUUAUACCAAUAUGACUCAAGUAGCAGUGCCACAAGUAUGUGGUACUAUCAUUACUAUCUUAUAUCUUUUGGCACGAACAUGUGUAUCAUGGCGAUCGAGAUUCAUUUCAGGUGCAAGACCAUUGAAGGUAUUAUUCAAAUAAACAGAGUAACCAUUAUUCUCCUUAAAUGAAUAACCGUAUUGCGAUAAACAUAAUCCAAUCAUGCUUAACGCAAACACCAAAUCUCGAUGGUAGAGGGAGCAUUCGAUGCUUGAUCACAUCAACCUUGGAAACACCUCCAACACAUAUCGUCAUCUCACCUUUAGCUAGUCUCCGUUUAUUCCGCAGCUUUUAUUUCGAGUUACUAACACUUAGCAACCGAACCGGUAUCUAAUACCCUGGUCCUGCUAGGAGUACUAGUAAAGUACACAUUCAUAUAACGUAUAUCCAAUAUGCUUCUGUCGACCUUGCCUGCCUUCUCAUCUACCAAGUAUCUAGGGUAGUACUGCUUCAGUGACCGUUCCUCUCAUUACAGAAGCACUUAGUCUCGGGUUUGGGUUCAACCUUGGGAUUCUUCACUAGAGCAGCAAACGACUUGCUGUUUCAUGAAGUAUCCCUUUUGCCCUUGCCCUUCUUAAACUAGUGGUUUUACUAACCAUCAACAAUUGAUGCUCCUUCUUGAUUUCUACUCUCGCGGUGUCAAACAUCGCGAAUAGCUCAAGGAUCAUCAUAACUAUCCUUGAUAUGUUAUAGUUCAUCACGAAGCUCUACUAGCUUGGUGGCAGUGACUAUGGAUAACUAUCACUAUCUCAUCUGGGAGAUUAACUCCCACUCGAUUCAAGUGAUUGUAGUACUCAGACAAUCUGAGCACAUGCUCAACGAUUGAGAUUUUCUCCCUUAGUUUGCAGGUUUAAGAAACUUGUCAGAGGUCUCAUACCUCUUGACGUGGGCACUAGUCUGAAAUCCCAAUUUCAGUCUUCGGAACAUCUCAUAUGUUCUGCGACGUUUCAAAAAAACGUCUCUCGUGCCACAAUUCUAAACCGUUAGCAUUACUCACUGAACUAUCACGUAGUCAUCAAAACGUGUAUGUCAGAUGUUUCGCAACAUCUACAGACGACGCUGAGGUUCAGCACACCGAGCGGUGCAUUAAGGACAUAAGCCUUCUGUGCAGCAAUGAGGACAAUCCUCAGUUUACGGACCCAGUCCGCAUAAUUGCUACUACCAACUUUCAACUAAAUUUUCUCUAGGACCGUAUUUUAAACAGUAGAACUAAAGCGUAUGACAUAAUUCGCAAAGACCUUUUGACUAUGUUCAUGAUAAUGAAGUUCAUCUAAUUAUGAACUCCCACUCAGAUAGACAUCCCUCUAGUCAUCUAAGUGAAACAUGAUCCGAGUUUAACUAGGCCGUGUCCGAUCAUCACGUGAGACGGACUAGUCAAGAUCGGUGAACAUCUCCAUGUUGAUCGUAUCUUCUAUACGACUCAUGCUCGACCUUUCGGUCCUCCGUGUUCCGAGGCCAUGUCUGUACAUGCUAGGCUCGUCAAGUCAACCUAAGUGUAUUGCGUGUGUUCCGAGGCCAUGUCUGUACAUGCUAGGCUCGUCAACACCCGUUGUAUUCGAACGUUAGAAUCUAUCACACCCGAUCAUCACGUGGUGCUUCGAAACAACGAACCUUCGCAACGGUGCACAGUUAGGGUGAACACUUUCUUGAAAUUAUUAUAAGGGAUCAUCUUACUUACUACCGUCGUUCUAAGCAAAUAAGAUGCAAAGACAUGAUAAACAUCACAUGCAAUCAAAUAGUGACAUGAUAUGGCCAAUAUCAUCAUGCUCCUUUGAUCUCCAUUUUCGGGGCACCAUGAUCAUCUUCGUCACCGGCAUGACACCAUGAUCUCCAUCAUCAUGAUCUCCAUCAUUGUGUCUUCAUGAAUUCGUCACGCCAACGAUUACUUCUACUUCUAUGGCUAACGCGUUUAGCAACAAAGUAAAGUAAUUUACAUGGCGUUAUUCAAUGACACGCGGGUCAUGCAAAAUAAUAAAGACAACUCCUAUGGCUCCUGCCGGUUGUCAUACUCAUCGACAUGCAAGUCGUGAUUCCUAUUACAAGAAUAUGAUCAAUCUCAUACAUCACAUAUAUCAUUCAUCACAUCUUCUGGCCAUAUCACAUCACAUAGCACUUGCUGCAAAAACAAGUUAGACGUCCUCUAAUUGUUGUUGCAAGUUUUUACGUGGUUUGUAGGUUUCUAGCAAGAACGUUUUCUUACCUACGUAUGACCACAACGUGAUUUUCCAAUUUCUAUUUACCCUUCAUAAGGACCCUUUUCAUCGAAUCCGUUCCGACUAAAGUAGGAGAGACAGACACCCGCUAGCCACCUUAUGCAUCUAGUGCAUGUCAGUCGGUGGAACCUGUCUCACGUAAGCGUACGUGUAAGGUCGGUCCGGGCCGCUUCAUCCUACAAUGUCGCCGAAACAAGAAACGACUAGUAGCGGCAAGGAGAAUUGGCAAACUCAACGCCCACAACUGCUUUGUGUUCUACUCGUGCAUAGUAACUACGCAUAGACCUGGCUCAUGAUGCCACUGUUGGUAAUCGUAGCAUAAUUUUAAAAUUUUCCUACGUUCACCAAGAUGCAUCUAUGGAGUAUACUAGCAACGAGGGGAAGGGAGUGCAUCUACAUACCCUUGUAGAUCGCGAGCGGAAGUGUUCCAAUGAACGUGGAUGACGGAGUCGUACUCGCCGUGAUCCAAAUCACCGAUGACCGAGUGCCGAACGGACGGCACCUCCGCGUUCAACACACGUACGGUGCAGCGACGUCUCCUCCUUCUUGAUCCAGCAAGGGGGAAGGAGAGUUCGAUGGAGAUCCAGCAGCACGACGGCGUGGUGGUGGAUGUAGCGGGUCUCGGCAGGGCUACGCCGAGCUUCUGCGAGACGGAGAGGUGUAACAGGGGAGGAGGGAGGCGCCCAAGGCUGUAGGUUGCUGCCCUCCCUCCCCCCCUUUAUAUAGGCCCCCUUGGGAGGGGGGCCGGCCAAAACCCAUCUAGGGUUGGGGGGCGGCGGCCAAGGGGUGGAAAGGGGUGCCUUGCCCCCCAAGGCAAGGGGGAAGUCCCCCCACCCUAGGGUUCCCAACCCUAGGCGCAUGGGGGGAGGCCCAAGGGGGGGGCGCCCAGCCCACUAGGGGCUGGUUCCCUUCCAGUUUCAGCCCAUGGGGCCCUCCGGGAUAGGUGGCCCCACCCGGUGGACCCCCGGGACCCUUCCGGUGGUCCCGGUACAAUACCGGUAACCCCCGAAACUUUCCCGGUGGCCGAAACUUGACUUCCUAUAUAUAAUUCUUCACCUCCGGACCAUUCCGGAACCUCUCGUGACGUCCGGGAUCUCAUCCGGGACUCCGAACAACUUUCGGGUUUCCGCAUACAUAUAUCUCUACAACCCUAGCGUCACCGAACCUUAAGUGUGUAGACCCUACGGGUUCGGGAGACAUGCAGACAUGACCGAGACGCCUCUCCGGUCAAUAACCAACAGCGGGAUCUGGAUACCCAUGUUGGCUCCCACAUGUUCCACGAUGAUCUCAUCGGAUGAACCACGGUGUCGAGGAUUCAAUCAAUCCCGUAUGCAAUUCCCUUUGUCAAACGGUAUGUUACUUGCCCGAGAUUCGAUCAUCGGUAUCCCAAUACCUUGUUCAAUCUCGUUACCGGCAAGUCUCUUUACUCGUACCGCAAUGCAUGAUCCCGUGACUAACGCCUUAGUCACAUUGAGCUCAUUAUGAUGAUGCAUUACCGAGUGGGCCCAGAGAUACCUCUCCGUCACACGGAGUGACAAAUCCCAGUCUCGAUCCGUGCCAACCCAAAAGACACUUUCGGAGAUACCCGUAGUGCACCUUUAUAGUCACCCAGUUACGUUGUGACAUUUGGCACACCCAAAGCACUCCUACGGUAUCCGGGAGUUGCACGAUCUCAUGGUCUAAGGAAAAGAUACUUGACAUUGGAAAAGCUCUAGCAAACGAAACUACACGAUCUUUUAUGCUAUGCUUAGGUGUAACGCCCACGAUGCGGCUAUAUCUCCCACGUGUCGAGGCACGACUUAGAGGCAUAACCGCAUAGUGGUUUUCUCGCAAGAAGGGUCAUCUUCACACAAUCCCAUGUAAUGAACAAGAAUGGGAUAAAGAGUUGGCUUACAAUCGCCACUUCACCCAAUACAUAAAUAUCAUUCAUACAUCAUCCAAAAUACAAUCAUAUAGACCGAGUACGGUCAAAAUCCAGAUGAAAAUAAGACAACCCCAAAUGCUAGAUCCCCGAUCGUCCCAACUGGGCUCCACUACUGAUCAUCAGGAAAAGACACAUAGUAACGACCACGUUCCUCGUCGAACUCCCACUUGAGGUCGACGCCAUCAUCUGCACUGGCAUCGUCGGCACCUGCAACUGGUGUUGGAAGUAUCUGUGAGUCACGGGGACUCAGCAAUCUCACACCCGCGAGAUCAAGACUAUUUAAGCUUAUAGGACAAGGAGGUGCAAAGAGGUGGAGCUGCAGCGACAAAAGCAUAUAUGGUGGCUAACUUGCGUAAAUGAGAGCGGGAAGAGAAGCAAAGGAACGGACGUCAUCUAGCAAUGACCAAGAAGAGGUCCUGAACGCCUACUUACGUCAUACAUAACACAGACCGUGUUCACUUCCCGGACUCCGCCGAGAAGAGACCAUCACGGCUACACACGCACUUGGUGUAUUUUAAUUGGGUCAAGUGACAAGUUAUCUACAACCGGACAUUAACAAAUUACCAUCUGCCUCAUAACCGCGGGCACGGCUUUCGAAAAAUAAUACCCUGCAGGGGUGUCCCAACUUAGCCCAUCAUAAGCUCUCACGGUCAACGAAGGAUAAACCUUCUUCCGGAAAGACCCGAUCAGUCUCGGAAUCCCGGUUUACAAGACAUCUCGACAAUGGUAAAACAAGACCAGCAAAGCCUCCCGAAUGUGCCGACAAAUCCCGAUAGGAGCUGCACAUAUCUCGUUCUCAGGGCACACCGGAUUGUCCAAGCUUCCGAUAGGCCAGACCAAAGUUGCCCCUGGUGGCCACCGGCGACUGACAGUUUGGACCAAUACUCAGAGGAGCACUGGCCCGGGGGUUUAAAUAAAGAUGACCCUCGGGCUCUAGAAAACCCGGGGGAAAAAGGUAUAGGUCGCAAAUGGUAAAACCAAGGUUGGGCCUUGCUGGAGGAGUUUUAUUCAAGGCGAACUGUCAAGGGGGUCCCAUAAAUCACCCGACCGUGUAAGGAACGCAAACUCAAGGAACAUAAUCCCGGUUUAACAGUAACUAGUGCGGCAAGAGUGGAACAAAACACCAGGCAUAAGGCCGAGCCUUCCACCCUUUACCAAAAUAUAUAGAUGCAUUAAUUAAAUAAGAGAUAUAGUGAUAUCCCAACAUAUCCAUGUUCCGACAUGGAACAAACUUCAACUUCACCUGCAACUAGCAACGCUAUAAGAGGGGUUGAGCAAAAGCGGUAACAUAGCCAAACAACGGUUUGCUAGGAAAAGAUGGUUAGGGCUGACAUGGCUGAAAUAGGAGACAUGAUAUAGCAAGUGAUAGGUAGCGAGCAUGGCAAUAGAGCGAACAACUAGCAUAGCAAAGAUAGAAGUGAUUUCGAGGGGUGGUCAUCUUGCCUGCAAGAUUCUCAGAGUUGUCGAAAGCUUGAUCCUCGUAAGCGUACUCGACAGGUUCCUCGUUCACGAACUCGUCUCCCGGCUCUACCCAAGACAAGAACACAAACAAACGGAACCACAAUCAACAACGAGAAAUGCACAAGCAACAUGAUGCAAGACAUGUAUGAUAUGCAAGAUAUGAUAUGCGAUGCGUAUGCGUGCUCCGGAAGGAAAAUGAUGAACAUGGCAGUAACUUGGCAAACCAAGCAUGCCACUGGAAAGAUGAGAUGAUUUCGGUCGAAAUCGAUAUAAAGAUCACCGGAAUCGGAUACACGGUUUGCAAAUGACAAGCAAAACAAGAAUGACACUAAUCUGCGAUAAACAGCAAGAUAGCACUUAAAAUGCAACAAGUAACAAUGCUAUAGCACCCCAACAUAGCAUCAAAGCACAUGGCAGUAAUCUACAGGAGAUGCUUGACAAAAGAUGAACACUGAGCUACGGCUAGUUCACAACAUUUCAAGCUCAAACAAGCAUGGCAAAAGUGCAAAAGAUUACAGGUUCACAGACUUAGUGAAAAACUGGACAUGGCAGAAAUCAGCAUCAGGUAGCAAUGUUCAGAGCACGAAAUCAACAUGCUACAGGAACUUAACAUUGCAAAACAAGGCAUAGUAGUGUACUACUAAAUGCACAUGACAAAAGUCCCUUACUGACCAUAAGCCAAAAAGGACCAGAAGAUAUGAUGGCAAGCAUGUAAACAUAUCAAGUUUCGUUAUCAGGUUUCAGACUUAGCAGAAAACAGAGCAUGGCAGAAAUAUUAAUAUGUAGGCCUCUUUGUGAGCUUGAUGCACUCACUACAGAGCAAUGCAUGACAAACCAAGCAUACCUACAGCAAGAUGGCAUGUUUAUGAAGCUUUCCAUGGCAAGAACAAUUGCAUAGCAUGUAUGGAUAAACUACAAUAAGCUUGGCAAAAAUGCAUGUCAUGUUAAGAAUCUGUCAGAAAUAUUUUAUAGCAAAAGUAGAGCAAGAUUGAGUCAUUCUAUGGUACUCUAAAAUUGCAAACAAUUGCAGGAAUGGAUCAAUUACAACUAUAGAUACAAAACAUCCUUACUGAAUAUCUCCAAAAUAUGCAUGGAUCUCUCUCUAGCAUCAAGUUUACAUGGCAACAAAAUUACAGCAGACAAAAACUUAGAGAAAUCACCAAGUCCCUGAAAUCAGAAAUAUUACGGGGCCUACUUUGCAUGCUUGUGCUAGUCACCACAAAGAUCACAAAAAUACAUGUACUAUACCACUGGAAAGAUGGCAUGGCAUACUUCAAAACACAUGUAGAGCUCAUGCUCAAAAGAUGCACAGAAUAAAUGAUACAAAAAUGACAAAUCUCCAAGUUCUGAUAAGAACCAGAGAUUAACAACAACUAGCCCUCUUCCAACGAAGAUUUGGGCAUCAAGAUGACCUCUAAUGAAAAUGGUGCAAUUGAACAAAAUGAAGAGCAUUACGAGACAAACAAUUUGACAUAUUACACGCGCGAAUCGGAGCUACAUGCACGAAGUUAUCACAUCUUGAACAGGAGCACAUGCUGAUGGAAUUUUAUGACUUGGGAAAAAAAUCGAAGGCUAGGAAAGUCAACGGGGACGGGAGAUGUACCAGAUCCCGAUCGGGCCGGCUCCUCGAGCUCGGCUCGCUCGCCGGUCGGGAGGGAAGAGGAGGCGGGCGCCGGCGGAGGAGAGGGUCGUCGGAGGUGGGGGUCGCCGGAGGGGUGGCGGUGAGGGAGGCCGGAGGCGCGGGCCUCGGGCGGCGGGGCACGGUGCCGGCGGCGGAGAUGGCGGCGGGGCACGGCCGUCNNNNNNNNNNNNNNNNNNNNNNNNNNNNNNNNNNNNNNNNNNNNNNNNNNNNNNNNNNNNNNNNNNNNNNNNNNNNNNNNNNNNNNNNNNNNNNNNNNNNNNNNNNNNNNNNNNNNNNNNNNNNNNNNNNNNNNNNNNNNNNNNNNNNNNNNNNNNNNNNNNNNNNNNNNNNNNNNNNNNNNNNNNNNNNNNNNNNNNNNNNNNNNNNNNNNNNNNNNNNNNNNNNNNNNNNNNNNNNNNNNNNNNNNNNNNNNNNNNNNNNNNNNNNNNNNNNNNNNNNNNNNNNNNNNNNNNNNNNNNNNNNNNNNNNNNNNNNNNNNNNNNNNNNNNNNNNNNNNNNNNNNNNNNNNNNNNNNNNNNNNNNNNNNNNNNNNNNNNNNNNNNNNNNNNNNNNNNNNNNNNNNNNNNNNNNNNNNNNNNNNNNNNNNNNNNNNNNNNNNNNNNNNNNNNNNNNNNNNNNNNNNNNNNNNNNNNNNNNNNNNNNNNNNNNNNNNNNNNNNNNNNNNNNNNNNNCGCGCCGAUUGGCUGCGGCCGGUGCGUCCGGCCGGCGGCGGACGUGUCCGGCGCGGCGCGAGGAGAGGGUUAGGGUUUCGUCUGCAAAUGCGUUUUUCGGGAUGCCCACUCAUUUAUAGGUAGAGGGAGCUAGGAGACUCCAAAUGAGGUGCGGUUUUCGCCCACACGAUCGUGAUCGAACGACCUAGAGCAUGGAAGAGAGUUUGGUGGGCUUUGGGCUGGUUUUGGAGGGGGUUUUUGCUGGACACUCAAAUGGACAUAGCGGAGGCCCGGUUAAUCGUUGGAGUACCAAACGACCUCCGAAUGGAACGAAACUUGACCGGUAGUCUCCGGGUGGUAUAUUAAGACCACAUGACAAGCCUCGGUCCAUUCCGGGAAAGUUUGACACACGCACACGAAAGAAAACUAGAGGGGUGCACCGGAGGAGAUAGGAGCGCCGGAUUGGAAAACGGACAACGGGGAAAAAGCUCGGAUGCAUGAGACGAACACGUAUGCGAAUGCAAUGCACAUGAUGAUAUGAUAUGAAAAUGCAUGACAUGACAAAAUACAAAACGAAAGACAAAACCCAAAAACGGAGGGAAAAACAUAUCACAUUAACGGAAAUGGCAAGAGUCGGAGUUACAAAUAUGGCAAGUUACAUGCGGGGUGUUACAUUAGGAUUGGGUCUUGUCCAUCACAUCAUUCUCCUAAUGAUGUGAUCCCGUUAUCAACGACAUCCAAUGUCCAUGGUCAGGAAACCGUAACCAUCUAUUGAUCAACGAGCUAGUCAACUAGAGGCUUACUAGGGACAUGGUGUUGUCUAUGUAUCCACACAUGUAUCUGAGUUUCCUAUCAAUACAAUUCUAGCAUGGAUAAUAAACGAUUAUCAUGAAUAAGGAAAUAUAAUAAUAACCAAUUCAUUAUUGCCUCUAGGGCAUAUUUCCAACACGAAGGCGUCAAAGCGUCCAUCUCGUUGGUGUAGGCCUUGUAUGAAGCCUUGGAUGUGCCCGUGUAGAGACGCACAACGUCCCACUCGUAAGCUAUGGUCGGGUAUCGAGUAGAGUCGCCAUCUUCGCCAAACGCAUCCCAUGGAUGUCUUUGCCAAUUCUCCGGACUUCCCACCGGCAGCCGCUCCCACAUCCAAAUGGAGAGGGCCCACACAAAUCCACACAUACCAGAAGUAUCUUCCGUCCUCUGGGUUGCCUCGUCAAGCUACAAAACAACAAUUGAUGAUCAGAUAUAACACAAUAUCAUGGAGCAUACAUUCAUAAAAAGGAAUGAGAUACUCUCUUACCGAGCGGUAUACCACUAGUAGAAAACGACCCAUUUGUCCGGUUCCAGAGGCCCAUUAGCCCCGGUUCUGGAACCGGGACUAAAGGGUCGGGACUAAAGCCCAAAACCUUUAGUCCCGGUUCUCUUACAAACCGGGACUGAAGGUGCUCCACGUGGCCGCUGCGGGGAGCCCAUGUAGGAGGGUAUUUAGUCCCGGUUGGUAACACCAACCGGGACCAAAAGGCAUCCACGCGUCAGCAGCUCAGGAGCUGGGGUUUUUGUUUUUUAAAGGGGGUGGUGGUUUAGGGGGUUUUGGAGGGUUAAUUUAGGGGUUUCAUAUUGUGUUAGGUAGCUAAUAGAGAGAAGUGUCCUCUCUUUCUCCUUGCUUGGUCGACGCUAGCUACUAUACGUAUAAAGAGAACUGACACGCUAGCUAGUAAGCAUAUGAAGGAACCAUUAAGUACACAAGAUCGUCAUGAACAUAUACAGAGAUAAGUGAUCGACCUCUCUUUCUUCGAGAGAUUGGUCGAACAACAAGUUUUCGUAUAUCUAUCUGACGCUACUAGCUACAUAUCACUACUAGAAAUCCAUGUUUUACCUAGGGCCAUAUACCCUAGGUGAAAUGCAAAAAACCAUAGGGAAAGACUUUACCUAGAGCUUGCCCUAGGUAAAGAACCCUAGGUGUAGUAUAGUCGGGAAAGAGGUCUUUCCCUAGAGUGCAUGAGUCAAGCUCUAGGGAAACCAUCUUUACCUAGGGGCGCAAACCCUAGGGAAAGAUUGUGGGGUCCAUCUAAAUUAUGCCACCCCCAACUUUCCCUAGAGCUCUUUCCCUACCAGAUGUUUGAAAAUUACCCUAGGGAUACAUCAUAUUCAUACCUUUCCUGUACAAAUAUGCAAUUUGAAUAAAAAUUCAAAUUCAAAUUCAUAUCUACCAUAAUUCAAAUAAUUAAAUUGAAAGAAUAUUUCAAAUUUAUAAAUCACAUCCAAAAUUCAUCAUACACAUCAAAUUCAUAAUGAAUGAACACAUACAUCAGAUACAUGGUCAACUUAAAGCCAAAUUCAAAAAAAUAGCCUAUAGCUGAAGUUAGUUAUUGCAAGUAGAACACCUUGACCAAUAUGUACAAGCAAUGUUGGUCACGCUGAGUAUCAAAAAUACUUGUUACAACAUGCUAUCUAUACAUGUACCCAAAAUCAUUAACUCUCAAGAGGUUGCCUUCCCAGGAGAGACAAAGCUGAGUGAGUUAGUUCCAAAUGCAUUAUCAAUAAAAAUCCAACCGUCCCUGCAACACCUGCGUCAGGCUCCAGAUUCAAAUCUUGGGGAGAAGCAUCCAAAGUGACAUUAUGGUCCUGAAAUUAUGUUGACAAGCAGUUUAGCACAUAGUUAUGAGGCUUGAAUAUUCUGGUAGAAUUUUGGUAGCAUAAUCAUAAUUUGCACAAUAUGGACAGGAGAAUGUAAACCCUCCCCACAGCCCACAUAGCCCUGGCAAUGAAAAUAUAUGAUCAUGCUUCACACGGAAGCAACAGAACCAUACAUAUCACCACACAUCGCGCUUUGCACAUCGCAGAAGCAUGCAUUUGAACAUCAGAAUUGCAGGAACAUACAAAGUUUGUAUAAUCCAAAGUUAAUUUCAGAAAACGUACAUGAUCUGCAUGUUCCUGAGCACACAAAUUUAGUGGUUCUUGGCUCGUUUCAAGGAUCUGCAAGAUAAGGGCCCGGUUGUGAAAAUAUACAUGGGCAUGCUCAUGUAAAUCAACUUGUACAUUAGCCGUGUCUCAAAUAGAUUAAAAUACAUACAUGGCCAGUUAAGCGAUGUGUUCCGUAUACACUACUCAUAUCAUGCUUACUCUGUUCUAUAGGAAAAACAAAGCAAAGGAAAGGAUAGCUCUAUGGAUUAGUUCCCUAGUUCUGUAAAGUUUCAGCUGAAUUUAAGCUGCAGAAAAUAGCAGAAAAGAAACUAUGCAAUCAAAAUAUACUAAAUCUAUUGAUAUGGUAUUCAUAGCUCCCAAUUACAAUAACAAAGGUAAAAUAAUUUGCUAAUACUCCAUUAGAUGUUGAUUUUAUGCAUGGAAACGAAUUUAAGCAAAUCAUCACUCUAAAAUCUAUAACUGACAGAAGCAAAAUGGUCUUACACCCGUGCAAGAGCUCCCCCCCCAUGAGACGCAUGUACAUAUACUGGUGAAUCUGCAUCCCAAGUUGAUGUUGCUUCUCCAAGCUAGAAAACAACAAUGUAGUCUCUAAACAAUCCUUGGUACCUUUAAAUCACGAAAACAUUCAGUCAGGAAAUAUGUUUUAGGUUAACAAAAAGUUAGUGCAGGAGAGACGACUACCAAGGAUAUCAUUCCAAGUCAUAGCAAAAAGGUAGUUAAGCACAGAGAGUAAAAUCCAUAGAUUAAAAUAGCCCGCGAAAUAGCCGCGAUAGCUGCGCUAUAGCUGCCCGGGAGCCUCGCCGCUAAGCUAUGGCUGCUGCCGCGAAAUCCUCUACAUAUCCUCUAAAUAGCUAAAAAAUCAGCAAAACCCUCCAAAAUCAUCUCUCCCACCAGAAAAAUUUCCGCUAUUUGCCGCGAUUGCCCGCUAUGGCGGCCGCAAUAGCUGCUGGGAGAGGCCGCCGCGAAAUCGUUUCUCCUGCGAUCUUAAUCUAUGGUAAAAUCACAGCCAAGAAUUUCUUAGGCAAUUUAGGAGCGGAAGGAAACAAAGAGCUGAUCUUUAGUGAUUAACUCAGUGCUCAUAUUUAAUUAGUAUUUUGGUUCAGUUUGAUUUGUUACAAAGUAGCUUAUAUAUAAUUAAUGUUAGAAAUGUAUUUUGUAAUCUAAUGUGGAUAAGAUCAAUGUAAUUAUCUAUGUUCUCAAUAUUCUGCAAAAUCUAACUUGUUUAAGUGGACGGCAUUCGUGAGCAUCUGCGAACAGAAAAACUAACAUGGUUGUUAAAGUAACAAAGAUAGUGCAAUUUUUGCUUCGCGGAUAUGCAGACGCUGUCCGCUUGCAUCCCUUACAGUCGUAUGAUUUUGUAUUUGAUUUUUUGUUUUAUCUUUGCCCCUCCUUAGAUUUCUUUCAAGCUCUGCCACUGCUAGCAUGGUCAACCUGCAUCAUAGAUACCAUAUAUCUGUCUUUAAAUCUGAACUUGAACUAAAAAGAUGUAACUACUAGAUCUUUUAUGUGAAAGUGCUACUUUUAAGUUCUGGAUCUGGACAAAACGUGCAAGCUGAAACACCUAAAUUGAUAGACAUCUAUUACUAAACCUGCAGAAAAAGACGUGCAAAGGGCAAACUGAUAUUCUGCCACAACGGCAAGCUAGCCGAAAGCAGCAGUCAGGUAAUCUAUGCAUAAUUUCUUAACAAGCAAAUCACAGAUCUGCACACCGAACACAUCAGAACAUAUACAUCUACCUAAACCAGAGAGCGGGAGACAGGGAGAGAACCUUUGGAGAGAAGUCGAGGUGGUGGAUGCGAUCUUGAUCUAGCGGCGAGGUGGAUGCCGUUGUCCUCGCCGUAGUGCUCGAGGUGCAGGAGAGGAGGGGGCCGUCAGGGAGGAGCUCGUCGGGAACAACCGCGUCGAGGAGGAGCUCGAGGUCGAGGUGGCGUUGAGGAGGCAACGGUGGUGGCGGCAGUCAGAUCCGCGCGAGGACAUCGUGCCCACCGCCAGAUGGUCCGCCUUGGUCACCGAUGUGGUAGAGAAGGGAAAGAAGAGGCGACGCAGCGAAGCAGGGCCGGUAGGGGCACGGCGGGGUGGUGGCGCGCGGCGGGCCAUGGAGAUUUGGGAGAGGAAGAUUGCGGACAGAAGGGUGGGGGGGAUUUUCUCCGGCGGCGGCGAACGCUUUGAGGCACGGGUGAAGGAGACCUAAUUUAGUCGAAAUUUUGGCAUUGCGCGCCCUUUCUCCCUUCGCUAUCUCACUGCAGAGUGGGCCCUGGGGGUGAAAGGCGCGCGCGUCGACGCGGGAUGCCAUCUCUUCGUGUUUUUCGGGAUGGAUGGUAUGCACGUGGCACCAGGAGUUAGGAAAUUUUAUUUUCCAUUUUUUUUCAACAGAAAUGUCUUUCCCUAGAGGGGUACUGUUCAUUACUUUUCUUUCCCUUGAGGAGAUUAAUAAGCUCUAGGUGAAGGCCUUAGCCCUAGGUAAAUCAUGGAUUUCUAGUAGUGUAUAUACAAUAUAAGAUCUCUUACAAUCCCUAACAUCUAAUGUCAAAUUUCACAUGGUAUUCUCUGGCUUUAUUUAUGACGUGGUCAAAAAAGAAUCCCACCAAUUCCUCUUGAAUUGCUCGUAUCCGAUCAUGUGGUAGGAGUUCAUCCCGCAUCUGCCAGAUCUAAUUUAGAGAAGGGGAUAAAUACAUAUAUAUGAAUGAAACUCAACACAAACGAUGGUAAUAAAAUAAAAUUGUGAAUAUUAUUGCUUACACACUUCAUAUUGUUUUUCAGUGUAGCCCCACUCACAGGUCGAGUGGCGGAUGAACUCGCAAACGUAGUAACCACAAAAAUCAUUCCCGCCUUCCCGCCAUAAGCACUUUACGAGAAAUAGAGUUCAGUCAAACUAAUAAUCAAGCAUGAUAGAUGGUAUUGAUGAAACUAGAUAGAAUCAAUGGGAGAUGCACGGAACUAGCUAGUAGUACUUACUUUCGGGUAUGUAAAUCGCAGCUCCCCCGGCAGUCCCAGAGCUAUUGCGGUGAACUCUUUCCAAACCCUGCGAGACAAAGAAAAUAAUUACUUGAUAUCAGGAAAUGAACAAAGUUGCCGAUAUGGUGCGAUAAUGAUCGAUUGAACUUACUUCCGGAGCAUUUCAGUCAUGUCCGCAUACUCCUGGGGAUCUUUUCGUCUCGAGUCUAAGACGGUUACUACUCCCUGCUCAAGCUUAAUCUCUAGCAGAAUAAAGUGAAAGCUGCGCACGCAUGCAUAACUCAUCAAUUACAUUACUAUAACCUCAAGUAAUAAGGGAAACUGAAUAUGGACAAGACAGUAAUACUCACUUGAAGUUGUAAGAAAAGAGUAUUUUAUCUUUGUUUUGAUUUUUGAGCAACGAUUUUAGCAAGUUGUCUUCGGUUUCUGUGACAUUCUUUUUAACCGUCCAUUCAUGUAUGACAUUUGGGUUAAUGAACCCAAUGCCCCAGAUUUGUGCUUUUCUGCAUUCGACGAUCUUCAAUCUGCAUAAUAUAGCGAGGAUAAUUAUAUAUACAUGCAAUGAAAGAGCUAAGCUAUAUAUAGAGACUUAAUUACAGAAGUAGUACUUAUAGACAGUAGCAAGUCAAGAUUGUUUUGUCGAGGGCCUUUUGAUUGUAUAACUGGAAUAACUCGUCAAAUGUAACAGACAACUGAUCCAUUCCAACGAGGUCGUGCUCAUCUUUAAUUCUCAGCGUCAAAGUAUCCUUCCCAGACUCGCUGCAGGUUUCCAUGUACCAUUCAUGGAAUCUUCGCAUCAUCGUUGUUAGAGGAGGAUGAUUGGUUUUGAUGAGAGGCUUCCUGUACUGGUAUCUGAAUUCGUCCACCUACAUUGUUUCAAACACCACAUCAUCGCUCACGUAAUCAGUAGGAUUGGUACCAGGCACCAUCCCCGGCAGAUUAGCGACAAUAUCGCUAGGCACCUUGAGCGGGGGGCACGAUUGGUUCGCCUGUUCGCCGAGCUGGGGAAUUUUUUCCCACUUCUUCGUUCUGCUAACCUUUUAUCACUGGAAGUAGUUCCCGACCACCGCGCAUCUUGAUACGUACUUUGAAGAGCGCAUAAAUAGUUGGAAUCAUGCGGAGGCGGUGGUGGUCGCUUCAGGACAUCGAUAGGGCGCUGCACUUUCACCGGAUCUAUCAUCUCCUUCGGAGGUGGAGGUUUCUUUGCAAAAUGGUCCCUCACUUGGGCAUGACAGAUGUCCUCAUUUUCCUUCUCGGUCCUCUCAUAUGGUAACUUUUCCAGAGGCUUGAGAGAUGGACCGUAUCUGAAUUGCCUGCCGCCUCUGCAUGUACUGCUAUCCGCGGGAGCGGCGUCGUCUCAUUUCCGCUGUUGCUUACGAGGCGAAGAAGGAGGCGGAGUGCUCCGACGCGCCGGAGGAGCCGGAGCGGCAGCGUCUGUCUUCCGCCGUUGCUGACGAGGCGGAGGAGGAGGCGGACUGCUCGGACGCGCCGGAGGAGGCGGAGUGGCCUCGCGCGCCGGAGCAGCCGGAGAAGGAGGCGGAGUGCCCUGAUCACUCGCCGGAGGAGGAGGAGGAGGAGGAGGCGGACUGCCGUGACUCGCCGGAGGAGGAGGAGGAGGCGGAGGCGUCUAGUUUGGAAGCUUGAUGUACUCCUUCCACCAUAGACAUGGAUUCUUCAGAGCAAGACCCAGCUGAAUCUCCCCUACACCUGUAGGGUGGUCAAGCUCGAGCUCCUCAAAUCCCUCCAUUACUUCAUCCACCAUCACAACAGCAUAGCCAUGUGGAAUCGGACGACAGUGAAAAGUUUUGUUGGGUUGAGGAGGUGCAACAGAGCCGACAGCCGCCUUCAAGGUGAGGUUCUGGCAUUUCGUCAUAAGCUAGGAAUGUUGAGCCUCCGUGAUAGCAUCCACUGGGAAGCUAGUAGCCGUGAAGUCAAGCUGCUGAACGAGCUCCGUGGAAGCCAUGCUGCUUCUCCACUGAGAUGGCGGGGUAGCUUCGUGCCGCUGAGAUGGAGCUCCGGCUGCUCGCUGUCUCUCAACUUGUUCCUCUAGCUUUUCUUGCAUUGAGCUUCUACAUUUCGCUCAGCUCCUGUUUCCUCUUCCUCUCCCAGGUUUUGUAACCGCCUGCGCCGGGAAACCCAACCUUCCACGCAACGGAGCCUGGCAUGCCUCGUGUUCGUCCAGGGUGCUCAGGAUUCCCGAGGGCCUCAGUCAGCUCGUCCUUCUCUUUGUCAGGAAUGAAUGUCCCGUCCUGCGCUGCGGCGAUAUACUUCUGAAGCUUCUUGACGGGUAUUGCAAUUUGCUCGUCCGUCCAAAUGCACUUCCCUGUUUCAGGGUCCAAAGUUCCCCCAACCUCGAAGAACCAAGUCCUUGAACCGUCUGGCCAGUUCAAUGUAUAUGGUUCGACCCCUUUAGCAAUCAGGUCAUUCUCAUCUUUGUCCCACAACGGCCGGGCUUUGAGGUAGCUGCCUGACCCCGUGCGAUGGUGCUACAGCUUCUUUGCAGCAUUUAUCUUGUUUGUCUCUGACAUCUUCUUACUCUUGUCCGAUGUCUUGUAGGCCACAAAUGCGGGCCAGUGAUCUCUUAUCUUCUCAAAUCGGCCGGUGAAUUCUGGAGUCUUCCCUUUGUCGACUGAUGACCCUCAAGUAUAGGGGAUCAAUUGUAGCUCUUUUCGAUACGUAAGAGUGUCGAACCCAACGAGGAGCAGAAGGAAAUGACAAGUAGUUUCCAGUAAGGUAAUGUCUGCAAGUGCUGAAAUUGUAAGUAGCGGAGUAGUUUGAUAGCAAGAUAAUUUGUAACGAGCAAGUAACGAUAAUUGUAACAAGUAUGCAGUAAGGUAGCCCAAUCCUUUUGAGGCAAAGGACUGGACAAAACGGUCUCUUAUGAUAAGCAAAGUGUUCUUGAGGGUACACGGGAAUUUCAUCUAGUCACUUUCAUCAUGUUGGUUUGAUUCGUGUUCACUACUUUGAUAAUUUGAUAUGUGGGUGGACCGGUGCUUAGGUGUUGUUCUUACUUGAACAAACCUCCUACUUAUGAUUAACCCUCCCGCAAGCAUCCGCCACUACGAGAAAAGUAUUAAGAAUAAAUUCUAACCAUAGCAUUAAACUUUUGGGUCCAAUCGGUCCCUUACGGAAUAGCGCAUAAACAGGGGUUUAAGUUUCUAUCACUCUCGCAACCCACCAUCUAUUUACUACUCCACAAUGCAUUCCCUUAGGCCCAGAUAUAGUGAAGUGUCAUGUAGUCGACGUUCACAUGACACCACUAAGGGAAUCACAACAUACCUACCAUCAAAAUAUCGAACACAUAUCAAAUUCACAUGAUUACUUGCAACAUGAUUUAUCCCAUGACCUCAUCGACGAAAGUAACUACUCACAAAUAAUAAACAUGCUCAUGAUCAGAGGAGUAUUAAAUAUCAUCAUGGAUCUGAACAUAUAACUUCCACCAAAUAAACCAUAUAGUAAUCAACUACAAGAUGUAAUCAACACUACUAGUCAACCCCUAGCACCAAUCUAUAGUUCCGGUAACGAGAAUACAAGAGAUGAACUAGGGUUUGAGAUGAGAUGGUGCUGGUGAAGAUGUUGAUGGAGAUUGCCCUCCCCAAUAUGGUAGAGUUGUUGGUGAUGAUGAUGACGAUGAUUUGCCCCUUCGGGAGGGAAGUUCCCCCGGCAGAAUCGCUCCGCGGGGGGUGGGAAGUUCCUCCGGGAGGGAAGUUCCCCCUAGCAAGAUGACUUAUAUACUAGAAGAUGGGCAUCGGAGGUGGGCCAAGGAGGGCACAACCCACAAGGGCGCGCCUGUGCUCCCUGGCGCGCCCAGGUGGGUUGUACCCACCUGGUGGCCCCCCUUGGUAGUUAUUUGCUCCAAUAAUUCUUAAAUAUUCCAUAAAAAAUCCCCAUGAAGUUUCAGCUUGUUUGGAGUUGUGUAGAAUAGGUAGCCUGACGUAGCUUUUUCAGUCCAGAUUUCCAGCUGCCGGAAUUCUCCCUCUUGGUGUGUACCUUGCAAAUUAUGAGAGAAAAGGCAUUAGAAAUACUCCAAAAAGCAUUAUUAUGGAUAAAAACAUUAUAAAUAACAGUAAGAAAACAUGAUGCAAAAAGGACGUAUCAACUCCCCCAAGCUUAGACCUCGCUUGUCCUCAAGCGAAAACCGAAAUUGAAAAACAUGUCCACAUGCUUUGAGAGAGAGGUGUCGAUAAAAACAAAAUACAGACAUAGAAACAUCAUGUUGAUUAUUAUAAAAACAACAAAAUUAAACAUAGGACUUUUAUCAUAGAACUUUUAUCAUAUACUUCUCAUGAAUAAGUAACAGUUCAUCACAUAAUCGAAGUAUCAAGCAAAAACUCUAUUAGAAACCAACAAACUAUGUUCUCAGUCAACUUUGCAACUAUAAUUCAUCAUCUUUUCAGGAAGGGUCACAUGUCGGAGCCUUUAGGCAAGUCCACAUACUCAACCAUCAUAUAGUCUUCUAUGAUUGCUAGGGGCUUAUAGUUUCGCCUCCCAACAUACUCACCUCAAGGGUGACGUCAACAAUAAUAACUCAUGCUAUCUAUAUUCAACUGGACAUAUGUGCCUAGAUCUUUACUCGCCACACGAUGCUUGCCAAAGGAGAAAAAAUAAAAAGGAAUAGAAGGAAAACUUUGACUCUUUGCAUAAAAGUAAAAGAUAGGCCCUUCGCAGAGGGAAGCAGAGGUUGCCAUGCUCUUAUUUGUUUGUAUGCUCAAUCCCUUAUUGCAAAAGAACGUCACGUUACAUUGCCCCUUAAGAUGACAACCUUUAUUAUGCAGUCUGUCGCUUUUAUUCUUUGUCAUCCAAGUUCGUGCAACGCUCAAUUUUCUCUUACACUAAACGAUCUCACACUUUUAGAAGCAAUUUUUAUUGCCUUUUUGCACCGAUGACAACUUACUUGAGGGAUCUUGCCCAAUCCCUAGGUAGGUAUGGUGGACUCUUGAAAAAGAUUUGGGUUUAAGGGUUUUUGGAUGCACAAGUAGUAUCUCUACUUAAUACGGAGUUUUUGACUAGCAAAGAUAGGGGGCAAGCACCACAUGUUAAAGGAUCUAUGACAAUAUGACUUCUUUGUGAAUAUAAACAAACAUAAACCAUUACGUUGUCUUCCUUGUCCAACGUCAAUAGUUUUGGCAUAUAAUAUUUUGAUGAGGGCUCACAAUCACAAAAGAUUUCUAGGAUAGUAUAUUUAUAUGUGAAUCUUCCCUUCCCUUAUUAAUUCUUGCAUGAGUUGCAUCAUUGACUAAUGCUAUGUUUGUUAAUCUCUAAUAAAUAUCCUACUUAUACUUUUCCUUAUGUGGUGCUAUCACCUACCAUAGGAUUAGUAUAUGAUCUUAUUGAUUUAUUUCCUUUCUUUUAUUUGCUUUCUUUCUCUUUUUCUUUCUUUCUUUCUUUAUUUGCAACAUGAAAGUAAAGGAAGCAAAAAAAUCAAACUAAACUUUAUUACAUAACUUGCACACGAUUACAAUGAUAGAUCACUAAGCGAACUCUCAAAGAAGAAAGGAUCGAACUAAACUUUAUUUCAUCUAAAGCAAAAAGAUCGAACUAAGAUAAGUAAAAACAAAAAGAUAGUGGGAUGAUAUGAUACCGGGGCACCUCCCCCAAGCUUGGCGGAAGCCAAGGGGAGUGCCCAUACCCGAUACUUAGUUCUCCUUUGGUGGUGAAGAAGAUGGUGGUGGUGAAGAAGAAGAGAUCUUGUCCUCGGAUUUCCAUGGCCUUGGUCCACCAUCAGAAGAGGAAGAGUGAGUCUCACGGGUCCUACAAUUAGCAGCCAAACUCAUACCUUUAAACCUCACCUCAUAUUCAAAGACUUGGUUUUGAAGAUCAUAGAUCUGGCUUUGGAGGGAGUUGUUUUGCUCGUUGAGGGUGAAGAUGAUGUCCUUCAUGGGCUUGCCAUCGACCUUGAGAUCACGGGAAAGCUCCGUGAUCAUGAGGUGAUUGGCAUUGAGACCACGUUCCACCAUCCCCUUGCACGGGAAGACCUCCUGCUCCAUAGCUUCAAGCCUGGCCUCCACGGUUCCCGUGCCCUUGGGACCUUGCUCAUCGCGGAUGUACAACACCCCCUCAUGCAUCUGGAUGGUUUGAGGGUGCUGCACCACCUCCCGCAGAUAUGGGUUGAUGAUGUUCUUGAAGAACCUGUCCUUGGAGGAAACUGAAGAGGCCAUGGUAGAUGGGAUCUGACAGAAAAUAGCAAGAAAAGAGAACAAAGGAUUUCUCCGUGAUACGGUGGUUAACAGGUUCUGGAAGUAUAUAUAGUUUUUUUAUCUUUGGGGACAAGUAUACGGAAGAAAAACGGAGUACGGAAGGUGUCCCAGGUGGGCACAACCCACCUGGGCGCGCCUGCCUGGCGCGCCCUGGUGUCUUGUGCCCACCAGGGGACGCUUCCUGGAAGAUUCUUUAUUUCCAAAAUUCUAAAAUAUUCCAAAACUGACAAAAAAACAUUUUUGCGGAUUUUUCGGAGUUCGUUUACUUACCGUAUCAUGUAUCUCCUUAUUUUGACGAUUCUGGAGUGUUCUGGAAGGACUCUUUUAUGUGCUCUUCCGGUGUCAAGGUUUCGAUAAUAUUGCUUUCAACAUUAAUAGCCGUACCUGAGAUAUAAUGCUUUAUUCGUUGCCCAUUGACAACCUUCGGGUUAGUACCUUCGGAAUUAUUUAUUUUGAUGGCUCCAGACCAGUAAACCUCCUCGAUGACAUAUGGGCCUUCCCAUUUCGAGAGGAGCUUUCCUGCAAAAAAUCUAAAACAAGAGUUGUACAAAAGAACAUAUUCUCCGACUUUAAACUCACACUUUUGGAUUCUUUUGUCAUGCCAUCUUUUAACCUUUUCUUUGAAUAAUUUUGCGUUUUCAUAUGCUUGGGUUCUCCAUUCAUCUAAAGAGCUUAUAUCAAAUAACCUCUUUUGUUAACCACAGUUGAAACUUUAGCAUGUUCCUUUAUCCUUACAGGAAAAGGGCGUUUCUCAAUAUAAGCAGUAGGAACAACUGGAUCAACAUUAUAGAGUAUAGUUUCUUCUUUAACUGGUACUGGUUUUUAGAUUUCAUCUUUAAUAGGUGGGUGAUAUUUAAACCACUUCUCUUUAGGGAGUUCAACAUGAUUAGCAAAUGAUUCACAAAAGGAGGCUACUUCUCAGAGUCAAGUCCAUAUUUAGUUCUAAACUUUUGAAAAGCAUCGGUAUCCAUAAAAGAUUUAACACAAUUAUACUUAAGCUUUAUACCUGAUUCUUUACCUUCGUCGAGUUCCCAAUCUUCAUAAUUGUGUUUAAUUCUUUCCAAAAGACCCCACCGGAAUUCAAUAGUUUUAUUCAUAAAAGAACCAGCACAAGAAGUAUCCAACAUGGUUUGAUCAUUACGAGAAAGCCGAGCAUAAAAGUUCUGAAUAAUAAUUUCUCUUGAGAGCUCAUGAUUGGGGCAUGAAUAUAACAUUGUCUUAAGCCUCCCCCAAGUUAGAGCGAUACUUUCUCCUUCACGAGGCCAAAAAUUAUAAUUAUAUAUAUAUAUAUAUAAUUCCUAUCAUGAUGAACUAGAUGCAUAGGAUAAUUUUUUGGUGGAACUCCAAUUUUAAAUGAUUCCAAUUCCAUGAUCCAAUAUCAUCGCAUAGCCUAUACCAUGCCAAUUCUUUUCCCUUCCAAGAUAAAGGGAAAACCUUUUUCAUCACCCCAUCUCCGGGUAAACCUGCAAGCUUAAACAAUCCACAAAUUUGUUCUACAUAUAUCAAGUGCAUAUCUAGAUGUUCGGUUCCAUCUCCUGCAUAAGGAUUAGCUAGCAGUUGUUCUAUCACACCCGAAGGUAUUUCAUAUUCAAUAUUUUCAGUAGGUGCAAUAGGCUGAGGGGUAGCUAAUUGUGGUUCCGGACGAGGUGAAGAUACCCCGAACAAACCCCUCAAAGGAUUGUUUUCCAUAGUAGCAAGUGACAAUAAAUUUCAGCACACUAUAUAAGUCUUUCCAUACCAAAUUCCACUUACCAAAGGCGCUUCACUCCCCGGAAACGGCGCCAAAAAAUAGCCUUGAUGACCCACAAGUAUAGGGGAUCAAUUGUAGCUCUUUCCGAUAAGUAAGAGUGUCGAACCCAACGAGGAGCAGAAGGAAAUGACUAGUAGUUUCCAGUAAGGUAAUGUCUGCAAGUGCUGAAAUUGUAAGUAGCGGAGUAGUUUGAUAGCAAGAUAAUUUGUAACGAGCAAGUAACGAUAAUUGUAACAAGUAUGCAGCAAGGUAGCCCAAUCCUUUUGAGGCAAAGGACAGGCCAAAACGGUCUCUUAUGAUAAGCAAAGUGUUCUUGAGGAUACACGGGAAUUUCAUCUAAUCACUUUCAUCAUGUUGGUUUGAUUUGUGUUCGCUACUUUGAUAAUUUGAUAUGUGGGUGGACCGGUGCUUAGGUGCUGUUCAUACUUGAACAAACCUCCUACUUAUGAUUAACCCUCCCGCAAGCAUCCACAACUACGAGAAAUGUAUUAAGAAUAAAUUGUAACCAUAGCAUUAAACUUUUGGGUCCAAUCGGUCCCUUACGGAAUAGCGCAUAAACUGGGGUUUAAGCUUCUGUCACUCUCGCAACCCACCAUCUAUUUACUACUCCACAAUGCAUUCCCUUAGGACCAAAUAUGGUGAAGGGUCAUGUAGUCGACGUUCACAUGACACCACUAAGGGAAUCACAACAUACAUACCAUCAAAAUAUCGAACACAUAUCAAAUUCACAUGAUUACUUGCAACAUGAUUUAUCCCGUGACCUCAAGGAUGGAAGUAACUACUCACAAAUAAUAAACAUGCUCAUGAUCAGAGGAGUAUUAAAUAGCAUCAUGGAUCUGAACAUAUAAUCUUCCACCAAAUAAACCAUAUAGUAAUCAACUACAAGAUGUAAUCAACACUACUAGUCACCCCCUAGCACCAAUCUAUAGUUCUGGUAACAAGAUUGAAUACAAGAGAUGAACUAGGGUUUGAGAUGAGAUGGUGCUGGUGAAGAUGUUGAUGGAGAUUGCCCUCCCCAAGAUGGUAGAGUUGUUGGUGAUGAUGAUGACGAUGAUUUCCCCCUCCGGGAGGGAAGUUCCCCUGGCAGAAUCGCUCCGCCGGAGGGCAAAAGUGCUCCUGCCCAAGUUCCGCCUCGAGACGGCGGUGCUCCGCCCCGAAAGUCUUCUCCUUAUUUUUUCUAGGUCAAAAUGACUUAUAUACCAGAAGAUGGGCACCAGAGGUGGGCCAAGGAGGGCACAACCCACCCGGGCAUGCCUGUGCUCCCUGGCGCGCCCAAGUGGGUUGUGCCCACCUGGUGGGCCCCCUCUGGUAGUUAUUUGCUCCAAUAAUUCUUAAAUAUUCCAUAAAAAAUCUCCGUGAAGUUUCAGCUUGUUUGGAGUUGUGCAGAAUAGGUAGCCUGACGUAGCUUUUUCAGGUCCAAAUUUCCAGCUGCCGGAAUUCUCCCUCUUGUUGUGUACCUUGCAAAUUAUGAGAGAAGAGGCAUUAGAAUUACUCCAAAAAGCAUUAUUAUGGAUAAAAACAUUAUAAAUAACAGUAAGAAAACAUGAUGCAAAAUGGACGUAUCAUCGACAAACGUUGAUUUCAACUCAUUCUUCCACCUCCUGAAUAGAUCUGCCAUCUUGUUAAGAGCACACGCCUUGACCAGUGGCUCUAUAACUGGCUUAUUCGGAUCCUCCUCUGGAGGUAGGGUGAAAUUUGCCUUCAGCGAGGUCCAAAGAUCAUCUUUCUGUCUAUCGGUGACAUAAGAAACUUGAGGGUCUUCGUUCUUAGGUUUAUUGCAUAGCUGGAUGCUGAUCGGGAUGAUGUCCCUAACAAUAGCUCCGCACUGAGCAGAAAAUGCUUCCUUGGUCCGCCUGGGUUCAAUCGGUUGGCCAUCAUCCGAGAUUGCUAUGAUCGUGAACCUUUCAUCCUGGCGCAACCUUUUCUUCGGGCCUCGUCUUGUUACUGAAGUUUGGCUCGAUCCGGAGGGCUAUAAAAGAAGAAACAAGAGUGUAGGAUCGAAAGUAUGUCUAGAGGGGGGUGAUUAGGCUACUUGACCAAAUAAAAACUUAACCUUUUCCCAAUUUUAGUUCUUGGCAGAUUUUAACAACUUAGCACAAGUCAAGCAAUCUUUUCACAAUUCAAGCAAGCAUGCAAAGAGUAUAUGAGCAGCGGAAAGUAAAGCAUGCAACUUGCAAGAAUGUAAAGGGAAGGGUUUGGAGAGUGCAAACGCAAUAGGAGACACGGAUGUUUUUGUCGUGGUUCCAAUAGGUGGUGCUAUCAUACAUCCACGUUGAUGGAGAGUUCAACCCACGAAGGGUAACGGCUGCGCGAGUCCACGGAGGGCUCCACCCACGAAGGGUCCACGAAGAAGCAACCUUGUCUAUCCCACCAUGGCCAUCGCCCACGAAGGACUUGCCUCACUAGGGUAGAUCUUCACGAAGUAGGCGAUCUCCUUGCCCUUACAAACUCCUUGGUUCAACUCCACAAUCUUGUCGGAGGCUCCCAAGUGACACCUAACCAAUCUAGGAGACACCACUCCCCAAAAGGUAAUAGAUGGUGUGUUGAUGAUGAACUCCUUGCUCUUGUGCUUCAAAUGAUAGUCUCCCCAACACUCAACUCACUCUCAUAGGAUUGGAUUUGGUGGAAAUAUGAUUCGAGUGGAAAGCAACUUGGGGAUGGCUAGAGAUCAAGAUUCAUAUGAUUGGAUUGGAAUAUCUUGAUCUCAACACAUGAGUAGGUGGCUCUCUCUCAGAAAAUGGGUAAUGGAAAUGUAGGCACGUUCUGAUGGCUCUCUCCAUGAAUGAAGAGUGGGUGGAGGGGUAUAUAUAGCCUCCACACAAAAUCUAACCGUUACACACAAAUCACCAAACUCGGUGUGACCGAAUCAGAAAACUCGGUCAGACUGAUUUAGUUCAAAAUGUGAACGUAGGAUUUUCGGUGGGACCGACAUGUCAACUUGGUGGGACCGAUAUCAUUAGGGUUCGGGCAUAACGUAAUCUCGGUUAGACCGAUUACUCAAACUCGGAUGGACCGACUUUGGUAAUAGACAAACAGAGAGUUGGUCAGGCGAACUCAGUGGGACCGAUUCGCUCGUCUCGGUGGGACCGAAGCGUUACGAAAAGGAAAUAGAGAGUUUGCAUUGCAGACUCGGUGGGACCAAUCGCUCAGUUCGGUGAGACCGAAACGUUACGAAGGGAAACAGAGAGUUUGCAAUCCCAUCUCGGUGAGACCUAGAUCCCUAUCGGUGAGACCAAAAAGACUAGGGUUUCUGGCAGUGGCUAUGUCAAAUGAACUCAGUGGCGCCGGAUGGAUCAAAUCGGUGGGGCCGAGGUUGACUUUUGGUUUGGGACAUAUGUGGAUAUGAAAAAGUAGUUGAGGGCUUUGGAGCAUAUCACUAAGCACUUUGAGCAAGCAAGCCAUUAAGCAACACCUCACCCCUUUUAAUAGUAUUGGCUUUUCCUAUGGACUCAAUGUGAUCUUGGAUCACUAAAAGUAAAAUGUAGAGUCUUGGACUUUGAAGCUUGAGACAAUCUUUUGUCCUUAGCAUUUUGAGGGGUCCACAUUCCUUAUCCAUGCCAUGCCAAUCAUUGAACUUUCCUGAAAUAUUUAUCUUGUAAUGGCAUUAGUUCAAUGAGCUAUAUGUUGUUAAUCAUUACCAAAACCACCCAGGGAUAGUUGCACUUUCAAUCUCCCCCUUUUUGGUAAUUGAUGACAACAUAUAGAUCAAAGCUUCGACAAAUGAUCAUAAGAUUGAAAAGCAUCGUCGCUUUGGGAAGUAUGUGACAAACAAAAGCUCCCCCUAAAUUUGUGCAUUAUUUAAAAUUUGCUUUCGACUACAAAUGCACAAUGUGUUAGGAUCAUGGGUCACUUUUCCAUGUCACAUACAUCUUGGUGGAGCGCUCAAAAUGAUAAUAAUUAAAAACCAUGCACUCAUCACCAAGCAAAGUGAAUGAUCAUAUAUAAGGUAUAAAAGAUAGUAUCAUCCAAACAAGCAUUAAGGUAGCAAAUGAUCAAUCACAUGAUCAUCCAAGUAUCUCACAAAAGACAUAAUGUAGCAAGCAAACACACAAUAAAGUUCAAUCAAGUAAAAUGCAAAGAGAGACAAAACAACACUCUCUCUCUCGAAGUCUAUGAUCUAUACAUAUUUCUCCCCCUUUGGCAACAAGUACCAAAAUGUUAAAAAAUAUGCAUAGUGCUAUGCGUCUCUCAAGCUUGGUCUUCAUGAGGUGGUGUAGAGAUGACUCUAAGGACGAAAACUUCUGUUGAUGUAGCUGGAGCUGGUGGAGUGGCUGUUGGAGUAGAUGGCACUGAGGUUGUGGCUGCUGGUGCAGAUGUAGUAGCUCUUGUGUCUGGGACAUGCACUGCAGCAGACCUCUGGCUUCUGGGAACGCUAGUAAAAGCUUCUAUAGUAGACUUGCCCUUCUUCUCGUCCACUUCCUCCUGAAGUUGCUCAACCACUGACUGAAUCUCAUUUACCUUGACAUCAAGAUCAUAGAAUUUCUGCUCAAUGAUCCUCUCCAAGCUCUCCUGGUUUUGAGUCAGGGUGGCCAAGCCCUUCUCAAUCCUCAAGGUGGAUUGGAUCAGAUAUCCAAGCUGAUCUUGCUUGCUCUUCAAGAACACUUGAGAUGCCUCUUCAGCAGUUGGCAUCCUUGCAGCUUUCUCUGCCCUUGCCUUCUCUCUCUUCUCAUGUGCUUGCACUGAUGAUGGAUCUUCCUCAGUCAUGACAACAAUGUUGUCCUCAAAGUCUGGCCUGAGGGGUAAAUGCUCUUUGUCCAAUAGAUAUGUGCCUGUGCCCAUCUUGGAGUUGAUGAGCACCUGAAUUUGUGGAGCAUACCCACAAGAUCUCUUCUGAUCUGCAGCUGUCCUCUUGAUUUUUCGGCGUUCUGGGAACAGGGGUCCCCAGAAUUGCCUGCCUGCGGCCACGGCAUGGCUGUGCUAGCAGGCUUGUACGACCCAUCUUCAUCAACAAGGCAUCCAAGACCCUUGCGAGGAGCCAAGCCUCGCGAGGCGGACGACGCAAGUCCUCCUCGGGAGCAGCCUCACCAGGCUGCCUCACGAGGAGCGGAGAUAUCGAGGCGGAGCAAACCUCACGAGGCUCUCGUGACGUGAGCCUUGACGAUCGACACCAGGCGGGCGCCAGCACGCGCAGCGUCUUUGUUUCCUCUUUGGUGCUAAGGAGGCAAGCGCAGGCGAGGAGUAUCGAGGCAUCAGGCAAAGGUUGCCAUAUCGGUGCAACAAGACCAAGACCAGUAGGACGGAAAGACGGAGGUCACCGUGGAGCCCAAGACGGCAUCACCACCAGAGCCUUUUGCAGGCGAAGACCGCUUUUGUCAGGAUAGCUUGUACUAGCUGUCCCCUUUCAAAUUCGCCCGCCGUUGUUGGCUCCCUUCCCGCUCAAUAUUUGGGGAGAGGACCGGGGCCUAUAUAAGUAGAGUUAGCCACCACAGUAGAGGACGGAUCGAGUUCUCAUACACAAGUCCACAGAGCACAAGAACACCUCGACCUCAGGAGGCUGCUCUUCCCCUUGUACUGUUCUUCAUCAGCCCAAGAGGCAAUCCACCACCACACACUGGAGUAGGGUAUUACACCACAAUGGUGGCCUGAACCAGUAUAAAUCCUGUGUCUUUCUGUGUUGCGAAUUCGUCGAGUUCGUCCGCGAGAUCUUAGUGAGCUAGGGCGUAUAUCGGUAGGAGGGAAAGAACUUCGCGCGCACCCCAGAGUUCGAACCUUAAGGGUUUUGCCGGAACCCCACAUCCGACAUUUGGCGCGCCAGGUAGGGGUGCGCCGGAGCUUCUUCCUCGCCAAUCGACUUACCGACGCUCCACGACCAAGAUGUCCGGCGACCCAAGAGCUGACUCCGACCGCUGGGUAGCCUGGCCGGCCCGGGCGACGACGCCUGCCCAUGAAGACCUCGACCCCACGCUCCAGGCUGUGCGAGCGCCGUCCAAUGCUGCGGAGCACGGGUGGCGCGGCCAGGCGUCGUCCACCCUCACUCCACGACAAGUACGAGCUGCUGCAAGGGAAGCAAGCCACGCCGCGGCGACGACGCCGCACUCGCGGUGGGAGCAGGCAAACAUGCGGGCAGCACUCACAGUGGCAAGAGAGCUGCUACGGUGCCGGCUGAUGGAGAGAGGCCGGGAUGCGCUGCUGGAACGCGUUGCCAAGCUACUGGACGCGGCGGCGUCGGGAGCACCACCCUUCUGCUAUCGGCUCCCUUCUCAGGCCGUUGCGGGGCCUCAUGGCGGGACUCGCCGCAACCACGCGCCAUCAGGCAUGCCUGGGGGCUUCGUCAACACCAGCGUGGCCGACAUCACUGGGGGCUCCUCCGCCCCCAUGCCGCCCGCAAUAAGCACGGGCACAAGCGUCGCCCCCAUGGUCCCAGCAAGAUGCCACGCUACUGUCCUCAGGACACCACGCUGGGCCGAGCAACAUGGAGUGUGGGGCACUACGUCGAGGUGUUCGGGGUAACGGCCCCGGAAGCCUACGUACCCCGCAUGAUGGACCAAGAGUACGCACCGGAGGACGACCCCGACUCGUUCGUUGGAGAAGAUUGGGAAGAAGGGGCGCUAGGAGUCGAAGCCUUCCAGGAACCAAUGAAGAACCACGACGAUCGCGCCAUCAACGGCAACUACAGGGUACCACAAUCUCUCAGGAGCAGGCUUACGCUAACCAUGGGUUGCAAGUGAACCAGGUCGCAGCGUUGAUCGACGACCCUGGCACAGCAGCACCCCUUCCAACAAGGGAAGCACGCUGGGGGCCACCAGGAGGGAGCCAGGAGCAAGGCCCCUCCCUACGCCGCGCGAAGUCGGGCGACACCCGGAGGUAAGCCCUCUGCCGGGGAGGCCUCGACGACCCUUCCCUCGGCAGAGGACCCGUGGUCGCCGAGGGCACCGUUGGCGUCCUCUUUCCCCCCUUUGUGUCGUCCAGGUUGCCGGUCGACUCAAAGGUGGUCGAGGGUGGCGCAAGACGGGGCCCUCGUUUGGCGAUAUGAAGCAAGGCCGGUACCUAUGAAGAAGGCCCAGUGCCUGUGAAGCUCGCCGCCCGUGACACUCUCACGUAAUAAUGAGUUGGGGCUGUACACGCCCCGGAGUCUCAGGGGUGCCGGCCUCAGGCCCUGGGGCUCCCUCCCAUGCCUAGUGGCAGCACUUAGCUCCGCGUUGGUGAGAAGACUUGAAGACCAGAAGACUAGAAUAGGCGCCGGACGCGGCCUUUCGUUUUGGAUCUCUUUUUCUGUAGCCUUGCUUUCUGGAUCUGGAUUUAAGUUGAAGUUGAGUUUUUAUCGGUGCGCGCGCGCGCGGGGGGAGGGGGGGGUGCCUUUUCUCGUUCAAGCAAUUUCUUGCUUUCUGGAUUUCGUUCUGCUUGGGACUCAUGUCCGUCGCCUUCCCCUCACGAGCCCCUCGCGAGCGGGACUGCGCGAAGCGCACGCGUGCCGAGCGCGCGCUAACGCUGCAACUGGUGCUUGCCUCUUGCGGGGCCCCUCCUGACAGGACGACAAGCUCCGCAGGAUUCUCAGAAACUCGUCGCCUCAUGAACCAGCUCGAGGCUGGCACUGACUAAGGUAACUCACGACAGGAAACUCACCCUUGGACUUACAAGUUCGCGAGGGCACAUACUCAAUACCACGUAGAAAAGUAAAGGCUGCAACUUGCUUACAUGAGGGGCUCCCCCUCUCAAAGUGCUCUUACAAGUUUUCCAAGGGCCGUGCCCGAGUUUUGCGUGCAGGAUGCAGCGACAAGAGAACAUGGGAUCAACCAAAUAUGUCACUUGCUGCGUCGCCCUCGGACGCGUCACUUGCAUCAUCUUCAUCUUCGCCAGCACCGUCGUUGCCUUCGGCGACACCUUCAUCGCCGUUAUCAACCACAUCGCCUUCGUCUGCAACGACCACCACCGCCUCAUCAUCAGAAGCGAAGGCUCUGACCAGCGCAUCCACGUUGUCCUCCACCCACCGCGCCAGGUCACCCCCGACGGCCUGCGGCACGGGGGUAGUGGCGGCGUCAAAGUCGAAGUCAGGAAAGGUGUUCCUGAGGUGGCUAAAGAUGCGAGAGAACGCGCGCCCGAGCAGGCCCCAGCUUCUCUCUUCCACGAGCUGGCGAGCCCUGUCAGACCGGGCUUCCAGGCGUGUCACCACAUCGGUGAAGAAGGUCAGGUGGCUGGCGUAGUCAUUUGAGUGAGGAGGCGGUGCAUUCUCGUCGCAGAUGUAGCCCAGGGCGGUAUUAGCCCUGUUCCGGAGAUCCUGAAGCAUGGGGGCAUGCUCGCGCUCCAGCGUCCGUCGUUGGAGCACUUCCUCCCUGUUUUGUCGCGCGACGGCCUCGGCGUCAUCAACCCGUUUCCGAAGAGAAAGCAGCUCGGCGCGGGCGGAGGCCAAGUCCGCCUGCGCCGUGACUAGGGCGGCAGCCGUGGCCACCGCACGCCACUCCGCCUCGCCCAACCUGGGCCUGAGGGCAGCGGCCCUGCCCGCAUCCUCCGUUCCUGUGAGCUUCAACUUCAAGUCAUACCUACCCUCUAGGUCUGCGCGAACCUCGGCCACCCGGUGGUCGACUUCCUCUUGGACCUUGGCCUCGCGAGCCCCGACGACAUUUUCCGCCUGAGCAACUUGACGCUCCCUCGUCUCUAGUUGUUCGAGCUCAAGGCUGCGCUCCACGGCUUCCAGAGCCAGCGCUUCCUCACGCCUCCGGACCUCCUCUUCCUCAGCGGGCGUCCCCCUCAGCGACGCAAGGGCGGCUCUGCACGCAUCCACCUGCUGCUCGAGGGACACACUCCAGGCCUGCAGCUCCCACGCGCGUUUCUCCGCAGCCUCGCGACGGCGGUCGGCCUCGCGGGCCUCCUCCAAGGCUCGAGAGCAAGCUUCGCGGGAAACCUUGAGGGACGCCUCGGCCUUCGCAUUGUCGAGAUCACGCUGAUAGCGGCCAAGGUUGAUGGCCACCCUCAGCUUACGCCAUUCCUCCACCAGCCGCAGACCUUCAGCCUCAAGGCGCGAGUCGACGCCCGCAAGUCUUCACCGAGUCGGCUCAUCGCCUCUUGGAAGAGCUCAUGGCGAACGAUGCUUCGCCCGUGCUCAGGCCCGAACACACGACCCACCUCGUCCUCCACCUCGGGGGCCGCAGGCGGGACAUCAAGUAGCGCACCGCCUCUCGGCGGGGGGCUGGGGGCUGGUGUCGCAGCAGGCGCCGGCCCGACCUUGCGAGAAGCUCCGGCCAGACGCGACCCGCUACUUGAGGAGGAGCCUAAGGACAAAGUCAACCGUGGUUGUCCAUAACCAGAGGAGGAGAUCGGGGAACGCCCGCCAGGCUCCAAGCCAGACCGUGCAGGAAGGGCAGCGGAGCCACAGAUUCAAGGCUCCAUGAAGGCGAGUGAGGGAGUCCUGGAUUAGGGGGUCCUCGAACUGCCGGACUAUAUACUUUGGCCGGACUGUUGGACUAUGAAGAUACAAGAUUGAAGACUUCGUCUCGUGUCCGGAUGGGACUCUCCUUUGCGUGGAAGGCAAGCUUGGCAAUUCGGAUAUGUAGAUCUCCUCCCUUGUAACUGACUCUAUGUAACCCUAGCCCCCUCUGGUGUCUAUAUAAACCAGAGGGUUUAGUUCGUAGGACGAGAACAAUCAUAACCAUAGGCUAGCUUCUAGGGUUUAGCCUCUACGAUCUUGUGGUAGAUCAACUCUUGUAAUACUCAUAUCAUCAAGAUCAAUCAAGCAGGAAGUAGGGUAUUACCUCCAUCGAGAGGGCCCGAACCUGGGUAAACAUUGUGUCCCCCGCCUCCUGUUACCAUCCGCCUUAGACGCACAGUUUGGGACCCCCUACCCGAGAUCCGCCGGUUUUGACACCGACAUUGGUGCUCUCAUUGAGAGUUCCACCGUGCCAUCACCAUAAGGCUUGAUGGCUCCUUCGAUCAUCUACGACGAUGCGAUCCAGGGUGAGGUUUUUCUCCCCAGACAGAUCCUCGUAUUCGGCGGCUUCGUACUGCGGGCCAACUCGCUUGGCCAUCUAGAGCAGAUCGAGAGCUAUGCCCCUGGCCGUCAGGUCAGGUUUGGAAACUUAAACUAUACUGCCGACAUCGGCAGAGACUUGAUCUUCGACGGAUUCGAGCCUAUGUCAGGUGCGCCGCACAGUCACAACGAGCAUGACUUAACUCUGUCGUCGGACGGUGUUCGGGAGAUCACACCUAUGGCUAUUCCGGCCCUCAAUCCGGAGCAGAUGGUGCCGUCCGAGGACGGGUGGAUGGACCCCGCCACGGAGGCCGCACACUCAGCGGUGAUAGAGGCGAAUACUGACUUCACCUCCUACGAGACCUGUGUUGCCGGAUACUCGGAUUCGUCCCCGGCCACGGGCUCCGAACCGCCUGCGUCCGUGCCUAUCGAAUCUGAUUGGGCACCGAUCAUGGAGUUUUCCUCCGCGGAUAUCUUUCAGCACUCGCCACUGGGCAACGUGUUAAAUUCAUUAAGGUCUCUCUCCUUGUCUGGAGACCCUUGGCCGAACUAUGUCCGGCUUGAGUGGGAGGCGGACGACGAACAAUUUCGUUCCCCACCCACCACCCACUUGGUAGCCACUGUCGACGACUUAACCGACAUGCUCGAUUUCGGCUCCGAAGACAUCGACGGUAUGGACGACGAUGCAGGAGAAGAACAGGAACCGCCGCCCACAGGGCGCUGGACUGCCACCUCAUCAUACGAUAUAUACAUGGUGGACACCCCCAAAGAAAACAACAACGAGGAACGGGAAGAAGCAGCAAAGGACAGUUCCCUCGAGAAGCAACCAAAGCAACGGCGUAGGUGCCUCUCCAAACCCCGCCUCAGCAAAAACAGCGGUAACAUCGCAAGAAAGAAUAAUACCCCAGACGACUCCAGAGGAAACGACGACCACAUGGACCCAGCGAAAGAGCAGGAUGAACCAGCGGACGGCGAACACAGUACGGAGCCGCUGUCCGACAACGGUGACGCCGAGGGUAAAGCUAAUCAACCUGUCUCUGGAGAGGAGAACAGUCCGGACGACGAUGCACACAUCAUCCCAGAAAGGCACUUGGAGCAAGAGAACCUCCAUAGAAGGCUUCUUGCCACCGCGAGGAGUCUAAAGAAGCAGAAGCAAAGGCUCAAGGCCACGCAAAAUACACUCAACAGUAGAUGGAACAAAGUGCUCGACACUGCAGAAAAGUACGGUGACAGUCGCCACACAAAGAGCUAUCCAAAGCACAAGCUGCUGCCUGAAUUCGAUGACGAGGCUUUAGAGCCCAUACAGCCGAAAAAUGAAAUGGCCGAUCAGCCGGAUCGACCACCCCGUGGCCGCGAUAGGGCGGCUAACGAUGUCGGUAUGACCAGGUCCAUCUACGGAUCUAGGAAGCGUGCUCCGGCACAGAAUCAAAACCGAACACUACAACCGUCAGAACGUCAUGACACAUCCAAGUACAGGGGUGCCGCGCACCCCCUAUGCUUCACCGAUGAGGUGCUGGAUCACGAAUUUCCAAAGGGAUUCAAACCCGUGAACAUAGAGGCGUACGACGGAAUGACAAACCCUGGGGUCUGGAUCAAGGACUUUAUCCUUCAUAUCCAUAUGGCUCGUGGAGAUGAUCUCCACGCCAUCAAAUACUUGCCCCUCAAGUUGAAAGGACCAGCUCGGCAUUGGCUGAAGAGCCUCCCCGAAAACUCAACUGGAAGUUGGGAAGAGCUUGAGGAUGCUUUUCGGGCUAAUUUUCAAGGGACCUAUGUCCGGCCUCCGGAUGCAGACGAUUUAAGUCAUAUAAUUCAAUAGCCCGGAGAGUCAGCCCGAAAGCUUUGGAACAGAUUCCUCACUAAGAAGAAUCAAAUUGUCGACUGCCUGGACGUCGAAGCCUUAGCGGCUUUCAAACACAGUGUUCGGGACGAAUGGCUGGCCAGACACCUCGGCCAGGAAAAACCGAGGACAAUGGCAGCCUUGACAAGCCUUAUGACCCGCUUUUGCGCGGGCGAAGAUAGUUGGCUGGCCCGUAGCGGCACCAGCGACCCAGGCACAUCCGAAGUCAGGGAUGGUAAUGGGAAACCGCGACGCCAUAAAAGCAAGCGUCGAAGCAAUGAAGACAACCCAGACAACAUGGCGGUAAACGCUGGAUUCAGGGGCUCUCAACCCGGUCAACGGAAAAAGCCAUUUAAAGGCAGCCGAGAUGGACCGUCCAGCCUAAACAAGAUUCUAGACAGAUUAUGUCAGAUUCAUGGCACCUCCGACAAACCUGCAAAUCACACCAACAGAGAAUGCUGGGUCUUCAAGCAAGCCGGCAAGCUAAACGCCGAGCACAAGGGGAGGGAGACACCAAGUGAAGACGAGGAUGAGCCUCGUCAGCAAAACACUGGGGGACAGAAAAAUUCCCACUAGAGGUCAAAACAGUGAACAUGAUUCACAUAACGAAGAGGAGGAGCAAACGCGCAUUCCGAGACGUAUGCGCCGUGGAGCCCGUCACCCCCAAGUUCAACCCUUGGUCGGCCUACCCGAUCACUUUCGAUUGUAGGGAUCACCCGACUAGUAUCCGGCAUGGAGGAUCUGCUGCCUUGGUGCUAGACCCAAUAAUUAACGGAUACCAUCUCACCCGAGUCCUUAUGGACGGCAGCAGUAGUCUCAAUCUGAUAUAUCAGGACAUAGUCCGCAAAAUGGGGAUAUACCCGACUAGAAUUAACCAAAGCAAUACUACCUUUAAAGGAGUAAUACCAGGCCCAGAGGCCCGCUGCACGGGCUCUCUAGUACUAGAGGUUGAAUUCGGUUCUCCCGACAACUUCCGAAGUGAAAAGUUAACCUUCGACAUCGCUCCAUUCCGAAGCAGCUAUCAAGCACUACUGGGAAGAAUGGCCUUCGCUCGUUUUAACGCAGUACCGCAUUAUGCUUAUCUUAAGCUUAAGAUGCCCGGUCCACGUGGCACCAUCAUAGUCAGCGGAAACGCAGAGCGUUCCUUGCGUACGGAAGAAUGUGUGGCGGCUUUAGCAGCCGAACACUGACUGGCCUCUCCAACCAGAAUAAAUGAUCUGUCGUCAAGACCGAGGACACGGCUAGACGAGUCCGAUGCAACACUGGCUGUAACAGCUCAGAUAAACCUGAGAUUGGGUUGAUGGAUAUAUCCCCAUAAGUGGCGCUAGGGGCUUCCCACAUGUAAAAAGAACUACAGUUCGGGUUGACCUUAUUUAGAUUGAAUUUUAAUGGUUUAUUAAGAAUAACCAAUUUUUUGCACGAAUACUUUCACCUGAGUUUUUCUCUUUUACAGAUGAUAAUCAUGCUACACCCUUCCAGGAUACGGCACAACGGAGACACAGGCGCAGACGUGCAGCAGGGCCCCACUCAAAGGUUUCUUUUUAGAUUAAGACCCUGUGUAAACCUUUCUUACUGUCUCUUCUUGCUUCACACCCUCCGGAUACUAAACACAACCGAGAGGGAUGCUGGCGUUAUUGGCAUUUCGCCACGUCAGACUAAUGCACGUACCUGGAAAUUCAGGGUUCAUUAUCAAGGGCGUUACUCAGUCCGGUAUAUGUUGUAAAGACCGAAUACCUUAGGGAGUGUUCGACGUCGCGAGUUUGGCCUUAUAUGCAUCAGCUCCGAAUCAUGUCUUUGGUCAAUAGUUGGGUUUGCCCGGCUCCUGUGUUUUGCUACCAUAUGUUCCGCUCUAUCGGCUAAGGUGGCACCGGGAGAACUACUGCGAUUGUGCCCUGGUUCAUCUGGACGAGCACCUCAGUAGAGAAAGCCGAAAACUGACUGGCAUGAUAAAGCGCGAGACUGGUCAACCACUCGAUGACUCAUCGGAAUCUUCGCGAUUCCUCCGCAUUAACGAAGGACCGGUUUCCCGGUCAUGUAUGUACGCGCACCGUAUUCGGCUAGACGCGGAAGUACCAGGGGCUAUAUAGUAGCCCCACCGUCAAACUCCUAUGGCUAAGUGAAAGUGUUAAAGCAAUAUAGUCCGAUUGCCUUGUUCGCCGCGCUAUCACCUCCUUAAUGGACCAAGCAUUGGAUCAAGUGUGAAUACGCGCUUUUCCGAACACCCCCGCAUUAUAUGUGUGGGGGCUGAAGCCGACGACUGCAAACUUUCAGGUUAUAUACAUACAUAAACGGCCGCACAGGAGGCAUCAUAAUACUUUCAGGCAAAAGUAUAAACACAACCUUUAUAAUCCUAAUAGCAUUGUUUUUACAAUCGGGUUACAUGUCACUAUAACAUGACACUCUUCGAGCACUGAGCCUCUAUUAAAUGAGCGCCUUCUAGGACUUCUUCAAAAUAGUGCUCGGUCGAUACCUGGCCUACGGCCGAACUCUGGGUCGCAAUAGCGGUGGCCUCCAUCUCUGCCCAGUAUGUCUUAACACGGGCAAGAGCCAUCCGCGCACCCUCUAUGCAUGCCAACCUCUUUGCAGCGUCGAUAUGCGGCACAGCACCAAGGAAUCGUUGCACUAAACCAAAAUAACUAUUCGGCCUUGGUCCUUCCGGCCAAAGAUGAUCCACGACAGACCUCAUGGCAAGCCCGGACAACCUAUGGAGCUCAGCCCACUCGGCCAUUUGCUCAUUUAACAACAGCGGACGCGUUGGAGCACUGAACUGCGACCAGAACAACUUUUCCACUUCAUGAUCUUUUUGAUCUUUGAAAAACUCAGUCGCAUCAGCAGCACUCGCUGCCAAGUCCAAGUACGCGUAUGCAGCACUCCAUAAUUGAUCCAGAGGGGCAUACUUCGGAUCUCCAAACUUCGUCCACAACAAAAGGGCUUCCCAGCCGUGAUAUCUCCAGCUUGACGAAGCUCCUCCUUCGCCGCUCUGAUUUUAGAGCGGGUCUGCUUGGCUGCUACUAUGGCUUUCUUCAGGUCUGCCGCUUUCGCUUGGCUUUCCUUUUCAAGAAGCUCAUACCGGUCGGCGGCAUCCUUCUGCUCAACAGCCAUCUUGGCUAUUUUAUCUUCGCUCUGGCAAUGAACAGCCUGUUCGACUCUUAAUUCUUCGACCGCCUUUAGGGCGGCCGCAUCACUUCUCCUGGCUUGUUCCUUGGCUCGGGCAAGCUCCGCCCGAAGGGUCUCCACGGCGGCAGCUCCAUCUGCAGUCACAACAUAUUAUAGAUACUAGCAUCAUGCUCCUCUUAAAUAUCUGUUAACCACCGGAGAAUACAUACCCUGUGCCUCGUCAAGCCGCUUGUUUACAAGCACGAUGUCGGCAUCUGCCGCAUCAAGUUGCCGCUUCAGUUCAGCAAACUCACCAGUCCGGCUAGCCACCGGACCCUCAGCCGCCUGCACAUGAAAACAACAUGAUCAUCACCUGGGACUAUGAUCCUCUGUUUGCCGCCUUUAGGACGGCAACCAGAGUCUCAGGGGCAACUAUCUGUAUAGGGCACACCUAGCGUGUGCGGUACCGUCAAAAUAUAUAUUACUUUGCGUACCUCAAAGCCUUUUAGCAGGCUCAUAAAAGCUUCAUGCAACCCACUUUUGGCGGAUGAAAUCCUCUCAACCACCGUACCCAUUAAAGUACAAUGCGCCUCUGAGAUAGCCGCUUGCUCCAGAAGACCCAUCAGUACGUCCGGUUGUGCACCGGACAGUACCGGACUCUUUCUGUUGCUCUCCUUAGGAGCCGAAUCCUCUGGACUUCGGGUGGCCGAAGGGUUACCUUCCGGCCUUGGCGGAUUAGGAGAAAUCCUCCAUGACGACACCUCAGGGUCGUCCGCCUCAGGAGGCAGGGAGACAGGGGGAGGCAUUUCGCUCUCCAUCAUCUCCGGAAGAAGAUCCCCCGAAGACGAACUCUGUCGAGAAGGGCUACGAUCCGAACUGCAAGACAUACGGCUCGGUUAUUGUCCUCGAAGAUGAAGCAGGAUAUAUUUACCAAAAGUACUCUUGUUCACUUACAGCUCGGUGGAGGGCUGAUCCCCUUGCGGGCACUGUGCGGUAAGGAUGCCCUCCAGGGCAGGGCCCUCUGGUGAAGGUUUCUUCCCUCGUUUGGAAACUCUUGUUUCCAAUUCUUCAGAGGCGGUCCUUUUCCUUCCUUGGGGAGAGGGAAUUUCAAAUUCUUCUCCCCGGUUAUCCUCCUUCGCGGAGACACUAAUUCCCCCGGUUUGGAUGAGUAAUGAGUGAGGCCCGCUUUCGGCUUCUUUAUUCCUCCCUUUACCUUCCCCUGAUGGCGCUUGAUAAGGUGCGAGCUCAAGCAUCCUGGCUAGUACAGGAUCCGGUGAGCCCUCGGGAAGGGGGGCCGAACACCUGAUCAUCUUCGCCUUUUUUAUCCAGUCCUGGUCAAAGAGUGAUUUUUCAGAAUGAUGUUGUCACAAAUUAAAAGAAAGCGUGUUCGGCCGCAGAAUUACUUACGUGGGUAUCUGGACAAUUGCAGUUUAGACCCGCAUCCUCGGUGGUGUCCGGACACUUUAUUCGUGAUCCGAAGAACAAUCCAUACAUCUCUUCGAGCGUCAUGCCGAAAAAUUGCUGAAUAGUUCGCGGUCCUUCCGGGUUGAACUCCCACAUACGGAGAGGUCGACAUUGGCAUGGCAGGACCCGAUGAACUAGCUUGACUUGCAUUACCUUGACAAGGCCGACAUCUCUCCCGAGGAGAUCUCGGAUGCGACUCUGCAAUGUCGGCACGUCAUUAAUUGGCCCCCAGUCCAGCCCCUUGUUGACCCAUGACGCCAGUUGUGGCGGGGGGCCCGAACGGAAGGCGGGGGCAGCUGCCCACUUAGUACUUCGGGGAGCCGUGAUGUAAAACCACUCCCGCUGCCAUAAGUUGGACAUCUCCGGGAAGAAACCCUUUGGCCAUGGAGCAUCGGCGCCUUUGCUUAUUAUGGCACCUCCGCAUUCUGCGUGUCGCCCAUUGAUCAUCUUCGGCUUCACAUUGAAGGUCUUGAGCCAUAAGCUGGAGUGUGGGGUGAUGCGGAGGAAGGCCUCACACACGACGAUGAACGACGAGACGUGAAGGAUGGAAUCCGGAGCGAGAUCAUGGAAAUCGAGCCCGUAAUAGAACAUAAGCGCUCUAACAAAGGGAUAAAGACUAAAACCUAGCCCUCGGAGGAAGUGGGAAACAAAUACGACGCUCUCGUUGGGUUCGGGAGUAGGGAUGACCUGCCCUGGAGCAGGCAGCCUGUGCGAGAUUUCGGCGGUCAGAUACCUGGCUUCUCUUAGCUUCUCGAUGUCCUCCUCUGUGACAGAGGAGGCUGUCCACCAGCCUUGAAGGUUGGAUCCGGACAUGAUUGAAGGUCCGAAGCACUUAGCCGGAGCCUCGGGUGUUGGAAUUCAAGGUGGGGGAAGGGAAGGAUCGAGCGCGAGAAGAAAAGGACAGGCCUUGGCCCCUUUAUAAAGAGGGUGAAUAUCAAGCGUCCUCCGCGUGACCGUUUGGAACUUGCCUAAAAUCGAGAAGUCAUAACCACGGGCAUGAUUGGGUUACCCACACCCGUAUUGAUGAGAAUCCCGUGAUAAAAGGAACACUAUCUCUGCUUCGACAAGACGUGCCAAUAAAACCGCCUCGCAACACGUGCAGUGGCAGGCUGGGAAGAACGGUUCGUCAUGACCAGACCACGGCAGAACGUCACGCUAUGAAAAGUUGUCAGCAGACUAGAUUUGUGGGAAUAUUAUAAUCUCUACGGUGGUAUGUGGAAUUUGUUUUGCAGAGCCGGACACGAUCCUAGUGUUCAAAAUCUUCUAUGGAGUAUUCGGAGGAGGAACCCGCCUUGCAAUGCCGAAGACAAUCUGCGCGCCGGACUCAUCGUCAUUGAAGCCUAGUUCAGGGGCUACUGAGGGAGUCCUGGAUUAGGGGGUCCUCGGACUGCCGGACUAUAUAGUUUGGCCGGACUGUUGGACUAUGAAGAUACAAGAUUGAAGACUUCAUCCCGUGUCCGGAUGGGACUCUCCUUUGCGUGGAAGGCAAGCUUGGCAAUUCGGAUAUGUAGAUCUCCUCCCUUGUAACCGACUCUAUGUAACCCUAGCCCCCUCUGGUGUCUAUAUAAACUGGAGGGUUUAGUCCGUAGGACGAGAACAAUCAUAACCAUAGGCUAGCUUCUAGGGUUUAGCCUCUACGAUCUCGUGGUAGAUCAACUCUUGUAAUACUCAUAUCAUCAAGAUCAAUCAAGCAGGAAAUAGGGUAUUACCUCCAUCGAGAGGGCCUGAACCUGGGUAAACAUUGUGUCCCCCGCCUCCUGUUACCAUCCGCCUUAGACGCACAGUUCAGGACCCCCUACCCGAGAUCCGCGGGUUUUGACACCGACAGCGAGCGCACCCCCUUUGCCGACCCAGUUUCGGGCGCGGCGUACAGGCUCGGGGUGUACAAGGCCAACGGGGGUGCCGCGGAAGGCGAGGAUUGCUUCACAAGGGACCCAAUGGCCCUGGCAGAAGGGGUCCUGAAGAACUAACAUCAGGAAGGAAAUCAGCAAUCAAGAAAUCACAAGGUGCAGUACUUACUCGUCAAUAGCAAAGUACUUUCGCCGCUUCAACGGCCCGAAGAUGCUGUUGCUGCUCGAGGAUCCUUUCCUCUUGCGGAGCUCCUCGAAGUCCCGCAAAGCCGACCGAAGCGCUGGACAUGACGGCCGGUGCGAGGCGGGGCCGAAGAAGAGCUUGGAGAGACAACUUCAGGGGUGCUUGGCUGCGGCGAACAGUCGGGCGACGUCUCGCUAUGACCUCCCGAGGCUUCGGGGGACUUUGACCUCGGGAACCGCAUGCUGCGUCGCCUCAGUAACCGAUGCCCCAUCGCGAGCUCCCGAGGACGACGCCCCCAGAUCACCGCGCGACAUGUGCUCUUCAGCGCUUGGGCCGCCGGCCUCCAUAGGAGCUCGCCCUCCUGCACCCUCACUUGGGGCGAGCUCGACACAGGCGGCGAGGAAGGGGACCACGUCGACGGGGUUCUUGCGAGGCCCCACCAGGCCGAUAGGGCGCAGGCCCAACUCAUCAAAGGAGGGCAUGCUCGCGGCAAACUCAUCAUUGUUCUCGCAACGAUACAGUAGACAACUCCUCCUGGACAUGUCAUCCGGCAGAGGGGCACCCGUCAGGACCAUAAGCACUGUCUCCCGUGUCUUAAGAGGAAGCCCUUCCUCUUGAAACCGCAUGUGGUCCUGACUGCUGAGCAAGGCCCACAUCGGGCGGGAAUGGCGCUGAAGCGGAGCGACUCGACGCUGGACGAACUCCUUCACCACCAUAGGCGCAGUCACACUGCGGUCCUUCAACCUCCUCAGCCUGGCCCAGAUGGGAGCAAGGCGGGGGCUCGUGAGCUUCUGAUGGCCCCAACCGGAGUUUGGAACAGCAGGCCCCGUCGGGGCAAGGAGCAGAGGCUGAGCACACCAGCGUCAACGAACACCCAUAGUGUUCGGAACUCGCUCGCGGAUGGAGGGAGCUCAAAGUCAAUCCCCGCACCUGCCGUCGCGGCCACAGCCUGGAAGCUCACGCACCCCGAGCUCUAACGAGGGUCAGUCAUAUGCAAUGAGAAGAAAUGGCGGAAGAAGGCCACCGAAGGAGCGAUACCCACCAUGGCUUCGCACACAAAGGCGAAGACAGCAAGAAGAGUCACCGAUUAAGGGUCAAGAUGCAGCAUGUGGAUAUGAUAAUGCACGAGCACCGCGUUAAAGAAGGCGGAGAAGGGAGGAAUCAGGCCAGCCCAGAGGGCAUCUAUGAAGAUUGGGACUUCAGUGGCUGCCCGAGCCAUGCGAGUGCGAGACGCGGGCCAAGCCACCGUCUCUCCCCACUCGUUGAAGCUGGAAGCAAGCAUUGGACGCACCUUGUCCAUGGCCUCGUCGUUGAGCACCCGGGAUCGGCCCAGCGCCGGCUCAGCGGCCGGAGGCGCGCUUGGCGGAGACAUGGGCUUCUUCCCCUUGUCUGCUUGUUUCGGCGCCAUGACAGCGAAGCGGGCAGAGGGCAGGUCAGAUUGGAGAAGAGAAACAGAGUCUCGAGGAAGCAGAGAGAUUGGGGAAGCAAGGCGCAGACGACGGAGGAAUAACUAUAUAGGUCGCGGGGCCGCGUAGCCAGGCGGAUUCUAGGGCAGCGUGGGGAAGCGGAGACGCCCACGUCCAAUCAACCGCCACGCGUCAACCGAGGCCACAUUCUUUUUGGGGCCCGCAGCGCUCCAUACUUGACCCUUGGCUUCGCCGCGAAGCCAAGCCCGAGCGCACCUUGGGCCCGGGGGCUACUGUCGGCGUUCUAGGAACGGGGCUCCGCAGACUUGCCUGCCUGCGGCCCACGGCAUGGCUGUGCUAGCAGGCCUGUACAGCCCAUCUUCAUCAACAAGGCAUCCAAGACCCUCGCGAGGAGCCAAGCCUCACGAGGCGGACGACGCAAGACCUCCUCGGGAGCAGCCUCACCAGGCUGCCUCGCGAGGAGCGGAGAUAUCAAGGCGGAGCAAACCUCACGAGGCUCUCGUGACGUGAGCCAUGACGAUCGACACCAGGCGGGCGCCAGCACGCGCAGCGCCCUUGUUUCCUCUUUGGUGCUAAGGAGGCAAGCGCAGGCGAGGAGUACCGAGGAAUCAGGCAAAGGUUGCCAUAUCGGUGCAACAAGACCAAGACCAGCAGGAUGGCAAGACGGAGGUCACCGUGGAGCCCAAGACGGCGGCACCACCAGAGCCUUUUGCAGGCGAAGACCGCUUUUGUCAGGAUAUCUUGUACUAGCUGUCCCCUUUCAAAUUCGCCCACCGUUGUUGGUUCCCUUCCCGCUCAAUAUUUGGGGAGAUGACCAGGGCCUAUAUAAGUAGAGUUAGCCACCACAGUAGAGGACGGAUCGAGUUCUCAUACACAAGUCCACAGAGCACAAGAACACCUCGACCUCAGGAGGCUGCACUUCCCCUUGUACUGUUCUUCAUCAGCCCAAGAGGCAAUCCACCACCACACACUGGAGUAGGGUAUUACACCACAAUGGUGGCCUGAACCAGUAUAAAUCCCGUGUCUUUCUGUGUUGCGAAUUCAUCGAGUUCGUCCAUGAGAUCUUAGUGAGCUAGGGCAUAGAUCGGUAGGAGGGAAAGAACUUCGCGCGCACCCCAGAGUUCGAACCUUAAGGGUUUUGCCGGAACCCCACAUCCGACAUGAUUGUUUCCACAAUCAGACUCAUCACUUUGAACUUUUGAGGAACAUCAAAUAUAUGCAGCAAGUUGAUGGAGUGUCCUCUGAUCAUUCUGUGACCACCUGACUUUGGCAAUAGAGUGUGCCUCAGAAUGGUAUUGAUUGUAGGCAGGCCUAACAGUAAGUACUUCACAGAGCCAAACUUGUGAGUCUCCAGGUCUGCAUCAGGAAUCUCCUUGUACAUGCUGGCCAUUGAGUUGUGAUCCUUCUUCUUCUUGGCAUAGACAUCCAAGUCAUCUUCAUGAGCUUCUGGAGCAUUGAUCAAUCUAGCCCACCCAUCAACUGUAGACUGGUACUUUGUACCCUCUGACAUCCAUACGAUUCUGCCAUCUGGAUAGAAAUGAGCAGUAGAAUAGAAUUGCAUGAUCAGCUCAUCAUUCCACUUGGUGAGCUUUUGGCCAACAAACUUGUCAACCUCACAUGCCUUGAAGCUGUCAUAAACACCUGGAAUGUGAUCUUCAUUCUCUCUUAUGUAGGUCCAGUCCACCCAUCUAAUGUCACACACUAUGGGCUUCUUGUCAAGCAGGAUAGUCUCAUAGCAAUCUUGUUGUUCCUUUGUGUGGAACCUAUAAUCCACAGCAGUUCUCCUCCUGACAGCAUAUGGGUCAGCCUUUCUCCACUGUCUCAUUCCCGCAUCCUUCCUGAUCCUCAUAUCUUCUGCAACAGGAUGUGCAUCAUUGUGGUCAGGGAUCUUUGGCUUUAGCUUCCUUAGCACUUGGGCUUCAGCUUCCUCUUCUCCAGUCUCAGGCACUGGGGCCUUGUUCUUUUCCUCAGCAGGUAUGUUCCUGGUACUCCUCUUGGGUGCAGUCUUGGGAACUGGAGCAGCAGCUUUGGGAGCAGUUUUGGGCUUAGCAGCAGCCCCUGACUUUAUAGCAUCUCCCAUGAGCUUCUAUGCCUUAGGUGCUGGAGCAGCAUCCUCUUCCUCUUCAUCAUCUGAUCUCACCAUUGAGGACUUUCCAAGACUUUAGCUGUUGUAGUUCUUGCCCUCUUCUUCUUGUCCUCACCAGCUGCUUCUUCUUCAGAUUCAAUGGUGAACUUCAUAGUUUCACCUGUGGCGACUUUCCUUGGCUUUGACAUUGGCAUCCUCCUUGCAGGUGCCUUCUUGUUCAGCCCUGGCUUACUUGCAGCAGUUAUGCCAUACUCCUUCUUCAGCACCUUCUUUUUGGAGCUUACUUCCUCUUCAGUGGCCACAUAGGUCUCAUCCUCAGAUUCUGAGGUUCUCUUCUUCCUAGAUCUGGUGGCUGCCUUUGGCAAGUUGCUUCAAGUGCUCCUGCUGCCAUCAUCAGAAGUGCUAGAGGGAUCUGAACCCUCGCUCAUCUGCACAUGUUCCUCAGACCGGUUCUGAUUGUCACUCUGAUUAGACAUCUCUGCAAACUUACUGACAACAGACCCUGUGAAUAGAUAUAGAUGAGGUAGAGUAGAUGAGCAUCACAAAGUACAGAGGUUUUGCAAAACAAAUUGAGUCAAAAAUCUUAGUUUUAGUUCUCUACAGAAGUGAUCUCGGAGCUACCGAAUUGACAAACUCGGUGAUACCAAAGCAACACUUGGAACCUAAACCAGUGAACUUGGUUGGGCCGAGUCAUAGUUCGGUGGCACCGAGAUUGCUAGGGUUUCACAGAAUCUUGAACUCGGUCACACCGAUUUGCACGUUUUGGUUGGACCGAAAAGCGCAUGUGCAAUGGCCUAAGCCGAAUCGGUGAGACCGAUUUCUACAUUUCGGUCGGUCCGAGAUGAGUUCUGCGGAGAGCUAACCGUAAAAUUUUCGAAUCAAUCUAGACCUAAGGAAGUUUUAGCUGGAUAGAUUAAUCAAAUUCGUGGCAAGAAACAUGGCAUUGUCCUUGUGCUAGGAAUUGGAGUGAAAAAGACAACACAAGGGGUCGAACACUUACCCUAGAGCGGUGAGUGUUCGCUACGGCAGUGACGGCGGAGCAGAUUCCGUCGACGACGGCAGAGUCCAAUGGCGGGAGGUCGUUGGCGGCGAGGAGACGAUCCGGAGACCCGAGGAGGCAGAGCAGGACACGCGCGGGCUGAGAGAAUUUGAAGAAAUUUCCAAAGUCUCACCCGUGGGUAUUUAUAUCUCGACCCUGUCAGUGUGACCGAGUGGAACAAUUCGGUGGCAGCUAGAUUGCAGAAUCGCAAGUGGUUGGUGCAACUCGGUGUGACCGAAGUGUUCAAAUCAGUUGCACCGAGAUGAAAACUUAGAUCAACUUAGUGAACUCGGUUUGACCGAAAUGGAUUUCUCGGUCAGACCGAAAUGCACAAAGAGGUUUUGGAAGUUUAAGUCUAUGACGAAUCAGGGAACUCCGAGUGCUCCUCACACAGAGUGGUUCGAAUCUGACUUGAUCAAACUUUGUGAUGUAGCAUGAAUAGAGUUUGAGACGAGAAAAGCAUAGAUAGCUAGAGAAGGUUCUUAGGCAUUCUUGUCCAUCCACUUGGCAAAAUAAAAAAAGAUCCAAACAAUCAAAGUAACAAGUGGAUGUCCUCGAAUGAGUAAAAUAUGCAACCAACAUGCUCACACAAUAAAAUGACAAAUGAAAUAUGUGGCAAAGCAUGCACAACCAAUUCUAGCAUCUAUCAAACAAUUGGUGAUGACUAGGUCAUCUAUAUAUGAGUAUAUUGACUUAGGAGUCAAAUGAGAACAUUUGAUCAUAGGUCAUACUCAUCGUUUAAGCACAAGUGGGGUUACCACUUUUACAUAGAGCAUUGAUGUGUUCACACCAUUAGAGUUGCUUUAGCUCAAUUUUUAGAGUAAAGCUCCCCCUAGAUGUGAGAUCCCCCCUAAGAGGGAUGAACUAACCUUGGGUUUUGUCGAUAAUGACUUCAUGUAGGUGUUGGAGAUGUAGAUGCUCAAUGUUGAUGUAGAUCAUUUGGAGAAAUCCUUUGGAGUGAGUUGCACUUUCAAUACCUACAUGGGUUAGUCCCACAAGGAAAAAACAAGGAUAUCCAUAGACAUAGAGUGAUGUUCACAUGAGAUGAUGUCCAUGAAUGCAUUAGGUUACCUUGUCCCUUGUCUUACCAACAAGAGGGUUUGUGACUCCUUGAACUAGUGCAAGAUGUGGAAGUUGAUUGCACUUGUCCUUGCCAAAAUGAUAUGAGUGAAGUAUAUUGGCGGAGUCACCCUCAAGAACUCUCUAGUUCUUAUUCUUUGGGAUCCACAUCAUCUUGAUGGGAAUCCUUGGGAUAGUAGUGGAACUUGAUGAAGUAGAGCUUGAUGUAGUCUUGGGAACCCACUUGACCAAGGCCUUAGGAGCUUCUUCAAAUGCAUCAAUCUCCUCUUGAAGCUUGUCCUUGCCUUUUAGCUUGUGGUCUUGUGGUGAAAGAUCAUCUUGAGCUUGUGUUCCUUGGAAAGAAGUAGGAUCAUACUUCUCUUGUUGAGGAACAAACUUCGUCUUGGGAUAUUGAUCUUCUUCCCACUUAACUCCAUUGGCAUUGAACUUUCGUUCAAAACCAACACCUUGAUUCUUCCGGUGUCUUCCUUGCUUGCGUACAAUUUCCUCAAAUUGCUUACUUCCGGCAAGACUCUUGUAAACACCUUUCUCUAUAAUUCCCUUCAAUAAGCUAUUUUCUUGCUCAAGUGUAACUUGGCUAAGAGAAUCAUUAGUGGAAUCAAGAGAACUACUAGAAGCAACAACAUUGGAUUUAGCAUGAUUGUUGUUACUACUAGAGGAAUAAUCUUUCUUGUUCUUGUUGCUAGAUUUAAAUUGUGGCAUGUAAGUAGAUAAGAGUAAACGCUUGGCAAUGUAAGAAGAACUUUUCUUGCGAAGAUCAUCAUUGAUUGCUUUUAAGAACUCAUGCUCUUGCUCAAGGUUGAGCUUUUCAAAGCGUAGCUUCUCAUGAGUCUUUAAAAGUUCUCGAUGACCUUCCAAGGUAGUUUCAUGAGCUAACUUAAGAGUGUUUAGUUCUUUAGUUAGACGCUCAAUAUUCUCCUUAUCAUUGUCACUCGUUUUAUCUUGAUUAGUAUGAUUAAUUGACAUUUCAUCAUAGUAUUCAUCACUAGAGUUGUCAACAAGUAAAUCAUCUUCACCUAACAAGUCAUCUUCAUCAUUAUUGAAAUCAACAUACUCGGGAUGUGAUACCUUUGGACCUUUGGCCAUGAAGCAUCUUCCAAUUCCUUCAUUUGGUGAGUCAAAUAUGUCGUAGGAGUUGGUUGACACAAGUGCUAGACCGGCAACACCUUCAUCUUGAGUAUAUUCGGAGUCGGAGUGAUAACUUUUUUCGGAGUGAUGGUCGGAGUCGGAGCCGGAUACCCAUUCACCAACAUGAGCUUGAUGUCUUUGUUUUGUGUAUCUCUUUGAUGAUUUGUCCUUCCUCUCCGAAUCCUUGCUUCUCCGAGAGGGUCUUCAUUCAUAACGAUCGUCUCUACUCCUUCUCUCUCUUGGUGGUGAUUCAUCUCUUCUACUUCUUCUUUUGGGAGAAUCUUCUCUUCUUUUGUAGGGAGCCGUACACUCAUUGGAGUAGUGUCCGGGUCUUCCACAAUUAUAGCAAUUUCGUUCACGACUAGAAGAUCUUUUGUCAUUGUAGGACCUUGACUUGGAACUUAUUUCCUUGCUUCUACUCUUGUAGAACUUGUUGAAGUUCUUCACCAUUAGGCUCAAUUCUUCAUUGAAGGUUUGUUUCUCACUUGAUGAUGUGGGAGCAUCACAUGAGGCUUUGUAAGCACCGCUUGACUUGUUGUGAAGCUCUUCCUUAUCCUUGAGAGACAUCUCAUGAGCAACAAUUCUUCCAAUGACUUCCCUUGGCUUGAGAUCUUUGUAGUUGGGCAUCAUUUGGAUCAAUGUGCACACGGAUCAUAUUUUCCAUUCAAGGCUCUUAGGAUCUUCUUGAUGAUGAAUUUGUCGGUCAUCUGUUCACUUCGUAAGCCGGCAAUCUCGUUUGUAAUGAGAGCAAGCCUAGAGUACAUUUUAGCAACACCUUCACCAUCCUUCAUUUUGAACUUGUCAAGUUGACUUUGAAGCACAUCCAAUUUGGAUUCCUUGACGGAGUCGGUACCUUCGUGCAUGUCAAUCAAAGUAUCCCAAAUUUCCUUUGCAUUCUCAAGGCGGCUGAUUUUGUUGAAUUCUUCGGGGCACAAUCCGUUGAAGAGGAUAUCACAAGCUUGAGCGUUGUAUUGCAGCAUCUUCAACUCUUCCGCCGUAGCUUCACGGUUUGGUUCUCUCCCAUCGAAGAAUUCACCUUGCAAGCUAAUACACACACCUGCCAAGAACUAAUACUCUGCUAGGUUGUGAAACCAAGGCUAUGAUCACCAAAAGCUAUGGAAAUCAAGGCAAAUGGAGACCAAAGCUCUGAUACCAAUUGUAGGAUCGAAAGUAUGUCUAGAGGGGGGGUGAUUAGACUACUUGACCAAAUAAAAACUUAACCUUUUCCUAAUUUUAGUUCUUGGCAGAUUUUAACAACUUAGCACAAGUCAAGCAAUCUUAUCACAAUUCAAGCAAGCAUGCAAAGAGUAUAUGAGAUGCAGAAAGUAAAGCAUGCAACUUGCAAGAAUGUAAAGGGAAGGGUUUGGAGAGUGCAAACACAAUAGGAGACACAGAUGUUUUUGUCGUGGUUCCGAUAGGUGGUGCUAUCAUACAUCCACGUUGAUGGAGAGUUCAACCCACGAAGGGUAACGACUGCGUGAGUCCACGGAGGGCUCCACCCACGAAGGGUCCAUGAAGAAGCAACCUUGUCUAUCCCACCAUGGCAUCGCCCACGAAGGACUUGCCUCACUAGGGUAGAUCUUCACGAAGUAGGUGAUCUCCUUGCCCUUACAAACUCCUUGGUUCAACUCCACAAUCUUGUCGGAGGCUCCCAAGUGACACCUAACCAAUCUAGGAGACACCACUCCCCAAAAGGUAAUAGAUGGUGUGUUGAUGAUGAACUCCUUGCUCUUGUGCUUCAAAUGAUAGUCUCCCCAACACUCAACUCACUCUCAUAGGAUUGGAUUUGGUGGAAAUAUGAUUCGAGUGGAAAGCAACUUGGGGAUGGCUAGAGAUCAAGAUUCAUAUGAUUGGAUUGGAAUAUCUUGAUCUCAACACAUGAGUAGGUGGCUCUCUCUCAGAAAAUGGGUAAUGGAAAUGUAGGCACGUUCUGAUGGCUCUCUCCAUGAAUGAAGAGUGGGUGGAGGGGUAUAUAUAGCCUCCACACAAAAUCUAACCGUUACACACAAAUCACCAAACUCGGUGUGACCGAAUCAGAAAACUCGGUCAGACCGAUUUAGUUCAAAAUGUGAACGUAGGAUUUUCGGUGGGACCGACAUGUCAACUUGGUGGGACCGAUACCAUUAGGGUUCGGGCAUAACGUAAUCUCGGUUAGACCGAUUACUCAAACUCGGAUGGACCGACUUUGGUAAUAGACAAACAGAGAGUUGGUCAGGCGAACUCGGUGGGACCGAUUCGCUCGUCUCGGUGGGACCGAAGCGUUACGAAAAGGAAAUAGAGAGUUUGCAUUGCAGACUCGGUGGGACCGAUCGCUCAGCUCGGUGAGACCGAAAUGUUACGAAGGGAAACAGAGAGUUUGCAAUCCCAUCUCGGUGAGACCGAGAUCCCUAUUGGUGAGACCGAAAAGACUAGGGUUUCUGGCAGUGGCUAUGUCAAAUGAACUCGGUGGCGCCGGAUGGAUCAAAUCGGUGGGGCCGAGUUUGACUUUUGGUUUGGGACAUAUGUGGAUAUGAGAAAGUGGCUGAGGGCUUUGGAGCAUAUCACUAAGCACUUUGAGCAAGCAAGCCAUUAAGCAACACCUCACCCCCUUUUAAUAGUAUUGGCUUUUCCUAUGGACUCAAUGUGAUCUUGGAUCACUAAAAGUAAAAUGUAGAGCCUUGGACUUUGAAGCUUGAGCCAAUCUUUUGUCCUUAGCAUUUUGAGGGGUCCACAUUCCUUAUCCAUGCCAUGCCAAUCAUUGAACUUUUCUAAAAUAUUUAUCUUGUAAUGGCAUUAGUUCAAUGAGCUAUAUGUUGUUAAUCAUUACCAAAACCACCCAGGGAUAGUUGCACUUUCAAAGAGUUAAUAUAUGUACAUACCAAAACAAUUAAUGCAUCAAUUAGCUAGUCAUCACAGGCUUAAUUAAUAUAUAUACCUCGCCGGACUUUGCAACAGCUCCCUCCUCCAUUCGGUCACCGGAGUCGUCAUCACGGUCUCCUUCUUCCACCGGCAUUCCGUCACCGGAGCCAUCAUGAUCAUGUCCUUCCUCCUCCAUUGUUCGAUCACCGGAGCCUUCACCCUCUCCUUCCAGACCUUCGGUGUCGUUGAGAAAUGACAAGACAUCACCUCUGUCGAGGAUUAUGUCCCCCAACAACUGUUCUUUUUCCAAGUCUCUUUGCUCCAUAGUUUCUGCAAAUAUUAUAACAUGUCAAUUAAUAUACAAACAUGAGAGAUGGAUAUAUUAGUGGCAAACAUAUACCUAGCUAGCUAAUCACAACAAGGAAUAUUAAUUAGUGGCCUCGACGCUUCUAGGGUUUGGGGUGGCCUCGACAACGCUUCUAGGGUUUGGGGGUGGCCUCGGCAACCCUUCUAGGGUUUGACGUGGCCUCGACGCUUCUAGGGUUUGGUCGGGCAAGAGGGGGUUGAUCGACGUCCCCCCUCAUGUUGAAGAGUUACCGAAGUUCUCUCAUGAAUGUCCGACGUCCGGACCGCCUCUCUCAUGAAUGUCAAACAAGGGAUUUAACAAAAUGGCGCCAUUUUGGAUGUGCAGAAAAUGGUCCAUAUUUUUCCUGAUCUCAUCUACCCUACUAUAUGUCAUGUUGUCUAGUGUCAAAGGAUUCAAGUAAACCAUGAUUUCAUCAUUAGCCAGAAGUAACAGGCGCAUAAUGGUAUGAAGCUCUCCAAAAUUGUUUUGGAACGGAGUCCCGGAUAGGAUAAUUAGCCUUUUGGUACGAAGUUCAGCAAGAGCCUUCCGAAUAUCGCUAUUUGGAAGGCCUUUGCUAAAAUUCAUACAAAAACACGAAUUAUUCUAUCUAGAACUCCGUUCCAAAACAACUUUGAAGAGCUUCGUAGCAUCAUACGCCUGUUACUUUUGGCUAAUGAUGUAGCCAUGGAUUUCUUCAAUACUUUGACAGACAACAUGACAUAUAGAAGAAUAUAUAUAUAUAUAGAUAUAUAGAUGAGAUCAGAAAAAAAUUGGAUCAACUUGUGCACAUCCAUAAUGGGGGCAUUCUUGAUAAAUCUCGACCCUCGACCCUCGACCCCUCGGCGACCCUCGACCCUCUACCCUAGUUCCCGACCCUCGACCGCUCGGCAAUCCUCGACACCCUCGUUCCCGAUAAAAAAUAAGAAGAGGAAGAAGAAGAAAAAAAAAGAGGAGAAGAAGAAGGAAUUGAGGAGAAAUUAUUCUAUUUCUUCUUCUUCUUCUCCUCUUUUCUUCUUCUUCUUCUUCCUCUUCCUAUUUUUUCUCCUCUUCUUCCUCUCCUCUUCUUCUCCUUCUUCCUCUUCUUAUUUUCCCUUUUCCUCUCCUUCUUUUUCUUCUUCUUCCUUCUUCCUUCUUUCUGUUUUCUUCUUGUUCUUUUUCUCCUCUUUUUCCUCUCCUUCUCCUUUUCUUUUUCUUUUUCUUCUUCUUCCUUCUACCUUCUUCCUUCUUCCGAUCCUCGACAACUAACCUAAAAUGCACUAACCGAAAAUCGAUAUCUACUAACAACCUAAAUAAAAAAUUAAUACCUAUAUGAAAAAAACAUAUAUGAACAAAAAAAUGCUAUGAACAUCCAUACAUACAUAGCCACAUCCAUACAUACAUAUAGCCACAUCCAUACAAAAAAUGCUAUGAACAUCCAUAAAAAAACAAAGGAAGCAGCGGCGGCCAUGGGCGUCGGCGACGGUCAGUGACGGGGAUGGGAAAGGGGGCAACUCACUGGUGGCGCGACAACGAGGAACAGGCUCGGGGGCGCACGCGGCGACGGGGAGGAGGGCCCGGCGAUGGAGCUGGAGGCCGGCGAUGACGAGAGGAACGGGCUCGGGGCGCACAUGGCUACGGGAAGGCCGACGACGACGAGGAACGGGCUCGGGGGCGCACGCGGCAACGGGGAGGAGGCCGGCGACGGUCAGCGGGACCGGGGACGGCGACGACGAUGGGGCGGGGGCAGCGGACAGCUUCGGGGCAGCCUGGCGGCGUCGAUGUUGUCGGCGUGGUCGGGGGCAACUGCGAGAUGGAAGUGAAAAAAUUCUUAAGUGUUGGUUAUAUAGGAAAGCCUUUGGUCCUGGUUCAUGGCAUCAACCGGGACCAAUGCCCCCUUUAGUCCCGGUUGGUGCUACCAACCGGGACCAAAGGCCUUGUGCUGCCCUUGGCCAAAAAGUUUAGUCCCACCUCGCUAGUUGAGAGGGGCUCGGAGUGGUUUAUAAGCCCCACUGCCGCUGCCCUCUCGAGCUCCUCUCAAAUGCAGGCUUACGGGCCUAAACUCACUGUAUCUGCCUGUGGGCCUACUGGGCCUUCUGCGGGCCUGAAUCCUGGCCCACGGUUGGGUUUCUAGUCGUAUUCAGGCCGUGGUGGCCUAGUAGGUGGCAUUUUUUUCUAGUUUUUUUGUUUUGUUUUUGCUUUAUUUAUUUUCUUAUGUUUCUACUUACAGUUUUUCAGUGAUUCUUUUUUCUUUUAGGUCACAAAAAUUAUAAACUUUCUGUUAGUGCCAUUAGUUUUCAAAUUUGAAUAGUUUAAAUUUGAAUUUUUUGAAAUUUGUGUGAAUCACUAGUUUGUGAAUAACUUUAUUAUAAAAAUAGAUUUUUGAGUGAUUCUUUUUCCUGCUAUUUAAUUUUACUGUGUUUAUCAUUAUAUUCAAUUUGGUAAUUUUUAGGUUAUUUUAAAUAUUUGUUUUAAUCAAAAACAGAUUUUGUUAUUUUAGUUUGCUAUUAAAGUUUCUAACAAAAAAUUUCUUUAUGAAAUUUCUUUUUGCUUUUAAUGUUUUGAACAGAAAAUACUUUGAUAAUUUUAGUUGCAUAAAUUUAUAUAAUUUUAGUUUCAAAUAUACUAGAGGUUUAUAAAAGCUUUUUAGUUGAUUCCUUUUGCUAUUAGAGUUUUAUAAAAGCUUUUUAGUUGAUUCUUUUUACUAUUGAAGAAUACUAUAGUUUUGUUUUAGUUGAUCAUAACAGAAUAUUUUAAUUGAUUAUUUUUAGUUUAUUCUUUUUGCUAUUAGUUCAUUCUUUGAGCUAAAUGACCCUGAAAUUGAAAAGCACUACAAAUGAACUCUGAAAAGGUUGAAAGUUGGCAUGGUAUCAUCAUUUCACCCACAUAGCAUGUGCUAAAAAGUUGAGAGGGUUACGACAAAAACUGGAUACACUUCGUGUACAAAAUGGACAAUCUCUUUCGAAGUAUCAGGGGUUCGGACGAAAACUCGUCUGUUACAAAGGGAUUUCAUGUUUUGAACUUAUUUGAACUCCAGACUUUUUGUGUGUUCAAAAUGCACCAUUCAAAGCCACAUCAUCAAUUUUCAACCCUUUCUGACUUCAUCUGGUAUUUUUCAUGCAUUUACUGAUUUUUAAGCUAAAUGACCCUGAAAUUGAAAAGCACUACAAAUGAACUCUGAAAAGGUUGAAAGUUGGCACUAUAGGAGCAUACCACAUCACCCAGUACUUUCUCUCGAUUUUUCUCCACUGCGACCCGUCAGCGGGUGCUCUCAACUUCCCGUCUUUCUUACGGUCCUUUCUGUGCCAUAUCAACUUGGCAUGCUCUUUGUUUCUGAACAGACGUUUCAACCGUGGUAUUAUAGGAGCAUACCACAUCACCUUGGCAGGAACCCUCUUCCUGGGGCGCUCGCCGUCAACAUCACCAGGGUCAUCUCGUCUGAUCUUAUACCGUAAUGCAUCGCAUACCGGGCAUGCGUUCAAAUCCUCGUACGCACCGCGGUACAGGAUGCAGUCAUUAGGGCAUGCAUGUAUCUUCUGCACCUCCAAUCCUAGAGGGCAUACAACCUUCUUUGCUGCAUACGUACUGUCAGGAAAUUCGUUAUCCUUUGGAAGCUUCUUCUUCAAUAUUUUCAGUAGCUUCUCAAACCCUUUGUCAGGUACAUCAUUCUCUGCCUUCCACUGUAGCAAUUCCAGUGUGGUACCGAGAUUUGUGUUGCCAUCUUCGCAAUUGGGGUACAACCCUUUUGUUGUGAUCCUCUAACAUGCGAUCGAAUUUUAGCUUCUCCUUUUUUACUUUCGCACUGUCUCUUUGCAUCAACAAUGACCUGGCGAAGAUCAUCAUCGGGCACAUCGUUUGGUUCAUCUUGAUCCUCAGCUUCCCCCGUUGCAGCAUCACCAUAUUCAGGGGGCACAUAGUUGCCAUCAUCCUCUUCUUCUUCGCUGUCUUCCAUCAUAACCCCUGUUUCUCCAUGCUUGGUCCAAACAUUAUAGUGUGGCAUGAAACCCUUAUAAAGCAGGUGCGUGUGAAUGGCUUUCGAGUCAGAGUAAGACCUCGUAUUCCCACAUAUAGGGCAUGGACAACACAUAAAACCAUUAUGCUUGUUUGCCUCAGGUACUGCAAGAAAAUUAUGCAUGCCCUCAAUGUACUCGGAGGUGCGUUUGUUACCAUACAUCCAUUGCCGGUUCAUCUGCGUGCAUUAUAUAUAAUUAAGUGUAUCAAAAACCAUUACAGAACAUCAUGAAUAGAUAAGUGACCAAAUUAAUAGAAGUUCAUCAUCACAUUAAAACCAAAGUACAUACAUAGUUCUCAUUGAACAACAUAUAGCUCUCCAGAGCAUCUAAUUAAACCGUAAAUUGAAACUAUGUAAAACAUUUCAAUGCAACAACAAAUGCGAUCAUAAUCGCAACUAAGGUAACAAUUGAUCCAACGGCAUAAUGAUACCAAGCCUCAGUAUGAAUGGCAUAUUUUAUUGUCUUAAUAAUCUUCAAGCGCAUUGCAUCCAUCUUGAUCUUGUGAUCAUGGACGACAUCCGCAACAUGCAACUCCAAUAUCAUCUUCUCCUCCUCAAUUUUUUUCAAUUUUUCCUUCAAGUAAUUGUUUUCUUCUUCAACUAAAUUUAACUCUCGACAAUAGGGUCGGUUGGAAUUUCCGGUUCACAUACCUCCUAGAUAAAAAAAUCUAUGUCACGUUGGUCGGCAUAAUUGUCAUAAACAAUAAAUGAACCAAAUAGUUAUAAAAGAUAAUAUAUACCACAUCCGAAUCAUAGACAGGACGAGGGCCGACGGAGGCGGAUACCAAAACCAUCGCACAACAUAAUAACAAACAAUAAUAAAAGUAAGAAAAUUACACAAGUAUCUAUCUAAAUCAUACAAGUAAGAACUUUUUUCUUUUAGAAAGAAGAUAAGAUCAAGAGGCUCACCACGGUGGUGCCGACGACGAGAUCGGCACGGGCGAUCGAUGGCGGUGAGGACAGGGACGGGACAGGACGGACCGCCAAACCUAGACAAAUCUUGAGGAAAAUGGAGCUUGGACAAGGAGCUUUGAGAGGAGAAAGAUUAAGUGUAGCUCGGGCAUUUCAUCGAACACCUCAUGUGCAUAGGAGGUGAGCUAGAGCACCACAAAGCUCUCCCAUGCACGGCCGGCCAAAAAAAUAGAGCACUCCACUGCUCUGCUCGCGGGCGAGGUGGUAUAUAUAGGCAUCUCAUUGGUCCCAGUUCGUGGCUGGAACCAGGACUAAAGGACCCCCUUUGGUCCUGGUUCCAGCCAUGAACCGGGACCAAUGGUUGUGGGCCAAGGGCGAGGCCCAUUGGUCCCAGUUCGUGUCUGGAACCGGGACUAAAGGGGGUAGACGAACCAGGACCAAUGCCCCACGAGGCCCGGCCGGCCCCCUGGCCUCACGAACCGGGACCUAUGCCACCAUGGGUCCCGGUUCAUGACUAAACCGGGAUUAAUGGGCUUACCUGCCUGGACCAAAGCCCUGUUUUCUACUAGGGUAGGUAGGCGAGAGAGGCGCCCCCCAACUGUACCCUGCAUCCCAGUGGCUAGGAAGAAGAGAUAUGACCAGAGGACAGAGUUCCCGGAGCAGUCUGAAAACACGACCUCUGUGAGAAGGUACCACAGGUAGGCCCUCGCGUACUGCUCCACCGUACCCCCAUCGGCAUUUACGGGGCAUUUCUUCCGGUUCUUCAGGAGCCAGGGCAGCGAUACACCGGAUGUUCGGUUACCCUUAGUGUCGGGGCAGUCAUCGAUGAGGGUGGUAGCCCUCUGCUGCGAGUUGGUCCUCUCCACUCGCCCGGUGAGUGCAUGACCUUCGAUCGGUAGGGCCGUAAUCAUCCCCCAAUCCUCGAGGGUCACCGUCAUCUCCCCGCAUGGGAGAUGGAAAUUAUGCGUCUUGGGUCGCCACCGGUCAAUCAAAGCCGUGAGAGCUACAUGGACGAGCGUCGGCGGCUGACGCUUGAACAGUAGGACGAAACCCAACAGUCGGGCUCUCCUGAAGUACGGCGUGUAGCGCUCGUCAUACUCCAUCUUCACGGCAUUCGUGUGACCCUGCAUGCGCAGUGGUAGGAGCAUCUGUCAAAAAGUGGACGCCAAAAGUUAGUAACUUAUUUUCAUCAAUCCCAAAACUUUGGUUCAAUAUUUCGACCAUAGUACUUACCACUCCGUUCUCUAUGAAAUGGGCACGAUGACCCUUGUCAAACGCGUAUUCAAGCAUGGAGUACCACUUGCCAAUGUUGCCCGCAAGAGGUGCCCGCCUAAAUAAAAUUUCAUAAACAUAAGCAUUAUAAGCAUAAGCAUAAAUAAAAAAUGAAACAUGGUUGAUUCAUUCAUACACCAUUCAUAUAUUUAUUCAUACAAUAUUCAUAUAUAACAUCCACAUGCAUCAUAUAUCAAAACAAAUUCCUCCAACAUGCAUCAUAUCAUCAUUUUUCUAACAAAAAAAUUAUAAACUAGGGUUCAUCUUGAGGGUUCACCAUUUUUUCUCCAACAACAUCCACUAUACAUCUUGCAUCAUAUCAUAUCAACAUGCAUCAUAUAUCAAAACAAAUUCCUCCAACAUUCAUCAUAUCAUCAUUUUUUAACAAUUUUUUUAUAAACUAGGGUUCAUCUUGAGGGUUCACGAUUUUAUCUCCAACAACAUCCACAAUACAUCUUGCAUCAUAUCAUAUCAACAUGCAUCAUAUAUCAAAACAAAUUCCUCCAACAUGCAUCAUAUCAUCAUUUUUCUAAACUAAAAAAAAUAUGAACUAGGGUUCAUCUUCACACUACCAUUCGAACUAGUGAGUAGUGUUCAUAUUCAACACCACUAGUGAUUAGAGAACAUCUAAAAUCAACCUAAAACAAUCCUAGGUAAAAAAAUCCAAUCUUAGUUCAAAAAUAGGGGUGAUUUGAAGCAAAUAAUGGGUCGAAUUGGAAGCUAUUUGACUAAAAGUAAUUGGAGGGAUUGGAGGAGCUUACUUUUCUUUCUUCGGAGCCAUCUCGAUCCGCAAAAACGGUGAAGAAACAAAGAAGAUCCAAGGGGAGGAGUAGAGAGGGGCGAGCAAGAGCAAGAACUCUGUUCUUGGCGGCUGGGAGGAGAGGGGAUGGGGGAGAUGGGGCUGGGGCGGGUGCGUCGGCCCGUAUAACUGCUCGCACCCUACUGCCAGGGUCCACGGCGGUAAGGUUAUACAGGCUACCACCAGGGACAGUGGCAGUAGGGGGGACGGAGGGGGACGACGGCCGUCUGGGGCUGCUGACGUGGAUUAGCCCUGGCGGUAGGAUGUGUAACCCUACCACCAGGACCCAUGGCGGUAAGAAAAAGAGUCAGAUUUCAAAACAAAAUCGAACGAGGGUCAGAUCCUGAAAAUCUUUGCUAAAAGGGUCAAAACACGAAAUUCGGCCCCUGCAAUUGAAUUGAGAUCAUUCAUGAUUGUUGUUUUGAUGGAAACUUCCAUGAAAGUGUAUAUUAGUGUUUCCUUUGCUCUGACCCCACAAAUUCACCAGCGUCAACAACCUACACAAUCAUAUGAGCCACCGUUGAUCCGAGCAAAUAAUGAUAAUGGUUAACUAAGCACGAGACGAAAUAUUUACCUGUUCUCGUGGAUUGUAAUCACAACGAUCAUAUCGAUGCAAGUCACAACAUUCAAGACAAAAAAAAUCUUGCAUUGCUUUUGCAAAAAAUUCUCAUAAUAUACAUCAUGGUAAUACAACUCAGACCGCACAACAACACACUUCAUGGUGUGCAUGAUCUUUAAGACAUCUUACUUGCCGGGGACAAAGUUCGUGGCAAACGCCCAUGCGUUGUUGUUGACUGGGUCAGCGAUGUGGUCAGCGAGGUUCUCAAGUGGGCCCUUGCCCGUGACGAUAGCUUGGACAAAGAAGCCGAACAUUGAGAACAUGGCAAGGCGACCAUUCUUGAUCUCCUUCACCUUGAGCUCGGCGAAUGCCUCAGGGUCGUCGGCUAGGCCCAGAGGGUCGAAGCUGCCUCCUGGGUAUAGUGGGUCGACGAUCUCACCGAGUGGGCCACCAGCAACGCUGUACCCCUCGACGGCACCCAUGAGGACGACCUGGCAUGCCCAAAUAGUUAGGAUGCUUUGCGCGUGCACAAGACUGGGGUUGCCGAGGUAGUGAGACCACCCUCACUAAAGAUUUGGGAGCCGGCCUUGAACCAAACAGCCUCGCCAAACUUGACGCCGUUGCGGGCGAGCAACUCAGGGAAGACGCAACCAAGUGCCCCAAGCAUGGCCCAACGACAGUGGAUCACUUCCAGCUCCCGAUUCUUGGAGAAGGUCUCGAGGUCAGCCGAAAGUCCAGCAGUGUCCCAACCAUAAUCGCCUGGGAACUCACCGAUGAGGUAGCUCGGGGGCUCACGAGAGAGUGGGCCGAGGUAGAGCACACGGUCGGCACCGUACCAUGGGCUACCAGAGGUAACCUGUUUCACCUUCGCUGCAGUCUUACGCAUGGUGACACGGGCCUCACCGAAGAGAGCCGAUGACGGUAUGUUCUUCAUCAUCUUGCCGGCAAAGGACGAGGAGGAAAGGGACAUGGCAGUCGCUGCCAUUGGAGAGCUAAGACUGGAGUCUGCUGUAUGGGUUCUCCAAGAGAGGCGUGAGUGUGAAUAUGACUUGAUAGGAGAGGGGGAUGUGGCUACUUAAGGCAGCGGAAGGUGGGAUAGGGCAGGUGUCUAAGCUUUACAAGAUAAACAUGGAUAGAGAGAAAAAUCCCCUCCUCUGGCGCUCCCACGGGCGGCAGGGGAGGAAACCCUAGUCGCCGCCGAACCGCGACCCUCUCCCCAUCCCUCCCCUCGCUGCCGCCAGGGCGUGCUGGCGGGCGAAGCCCGCCCGGCAUGGGCGGCGGCGGGGCGCUCUCUCCUUCUCGCGAGGCGGGAUCGUCGUGGGGCGAUCUACCCUGGCCGGAACGCGGCGUUGUGCGGGGCGCGGCGACGCUGGGCUGCCACGGUGGCUGGUGUGGAGGGCUGCACGAGGCGGGAUGCGUGCUGGUGAUGGUUGCGGCGGCCGGUGGUCGUUCUGCCGGAUCUGGACGACGCGGGGGUGGUGGCACCUGUGCUAGGCAGAGUCGGGCGAGAUCCCCUUCGGGCUGGCAUCCGUGGUGCAUGCGGUUUUGCUGGUUGCUCGCCGGAUUCGUCCUGUAGCUUGCGCUCGGCCUUGAUCGGCGCCGAGGCAGGUCGGGGAGGCAUCCCCCGGGUGCUCGAGAUGUGCUAUUGGUGGCUGUGCUAGAUGUGCAGCUACUGACACCGGUGGAGUCCGACGGCCCUUCUCCAUGGAGGCGGGACAGGGCGGUGGUGGUCAUCUCCUCCGUCGGAGGUGGUCGGCCUGAGGCUAGGUGGUCGGAUCUCCAGAUCCGUCAUCUAGUCCUGGCUACGAGUCGGGGAAACAUGGUUGCCGGAGAAAACCGAGCCGACGGCAGGCAAUGGCGGCGUCCUCGCCGUUACCUUGAUGGAGGCAUCGUCGUGUAACUACUGUCGACCCACUCGUGCUGCUCCGGGGGAAACCCUAGGAUCUGGUGUUCCAGAUCGGACGAUGGCGGCACUGCGGUGUCGUUUCUCUCUUGGGAGCAUCGUUUCUGGAGCAGCGCUGGAAGUCAGAGGCAGGAGGUGGAGCGGCUUCAUCUUGCACGGAGCUUCGGUGGAGAUGUCAAGUCAUGCCUGACCGACAGGUGCUACGCUUUGUCCUGCCUGGUCGGCAGGUGCUACGCACGAUAGAUCUUCCAAGGACUUCAAGCCGUGUCGGCUGCUGGUACUUGGCAGCAUGGCGCUGAGGUGUAUGAGUGGCGACCGCGACGUGCUCAGCUGUUUGCGCGCAGGGAGGAGGUGUCGUUGGGCGCCAUGGUGGCGUCGACGAUAGCUGGACCGAGCAAGGUUGAUGCAUCAGUACAGUUCUGAAGAUGGAGCGGUGGCAGUUGGCGGCGGCGGCCUCUGAGAGCACGCCGGACCAGUGUGUGCCCCAGACCCGGCAAGUGGCUAGGUUGGGGUCUCAGGUCUUAGAUGUUAGGCUUGGCUGCGAUGUCUGUUUGGUAUUAGGCCCAGGCUAUCUGCGCCCCUUCAUCAACUGGAUAGGUGUAGCGACAGUUUGUUGCUUAGACGGCGGCUUUAGUCUUACUGUUAUAUGACUUUGUAAGGUCUUGUGAGAAUAAUUAAUAAAGUGGCUGUAUGCAUCGCCCAGAUGCAGAGGCCGGGGGUCAUCCUCCUUUUCUAAAAAAAAUUUGGUGCUGCAGAGAUCUCUUCGUGUCAGAACACUUGGAGCAGCGAGAACCAGGAAAUGCGUAUUGCCGCGAGCUUGUGGCUAGAAGUGGCUGUGACCAGGAUCUCCUUGGAGACUGCUGAUUGGAUCAAGUGUGAGUGAGAUCUGCACUAGGAAGCAUCGCGCAGCGUCACACCGCUAGCUGUUGUCCUCAUGUAUCCUUUAGCGUUCAGAAAUCUAAAAUCAGAAUAGGCCGUGGUAAAAGAUCACAUUAUUGAGCCAAAUUCCAUACAUAAAACUAAAUAUAUUCAUUUUUUCUCGGAAAAAUGUAGGUACACCUUAAUUUUCCAUUCAACUAACAAGUAAAUUAACUUAUUUAAUUUACAUCUGCACAUUCUGUAUGUUUUAGAUUAAAGUAAAUGACUUACGGAUCCGGAUCUGUAGAACCUGGAUAUUGGCGCAUCCACUAAAGCAUUUUAACUUAAAAAAGAGUAAAAAAGAAGAGACAGAGAAAAGAAUUAAACAAAUUCUGUAGCGAACGUGGUCGAGUGUUCUACUCAUGAAGGAAGUUCGCCAAGAAUUGACUUCCGUGUUCUUCUAGGAAAGAAAACAAAAUCGCAACAUCAAAAAUCUUGAAUAGUAACUUUUAUACAGAUUUGACUUUUUUUUAGAACGAAGGCUCAGAAGAGCCCGGCUUUGAAUUAACAAAGCCAUCAACCGGCCAGGAUUACAAGAACACCAACUAACAAGAAAAGCAAAAAGAAAAACAAGCGGCUGAUACAAGGAGCCAAGCGAAACAGAUUCUAAGGCAGCAGCGAUAGCAACACGCCAGGCUGCUGCCAUCACCCUACAGGACGACCUACACCAUCCGGACAAGCUAUGGACUUGAGAGGAUGCACCACGGCGCAAGCUUCGUGAUCGUAGCCCAACUCGAAGACAGAACAUACACUCCUCUGGAACUGCCACUGCAAAGGGCCCCUGCCCUCUCAUCCUGGCUCGAAGGAUGCCGCACCGGCAGGCAGCAGCUCGGUUCACCCUAGAACCCAGAGGAAGACGUCCAAGCUGCGCAUGAGGAAGGAACUAGGAGCAGACCUGCUAGCACAGAGCACACCAUUCCGAGCACCGUCGCCGUCCGCGGUUAAGCCACACCGAAGGGCUAGAGCUGUCGGCCACAGUCGCAGCAACACGGGAAACAACGAUGAGCCACCGAAGAAAAGGCGAUGAAGCGCCGAGCCAAGCUGCCACCCGCCACCAUCGCACCCACAACCUGACUCUCUCGCCGCCCCUGCGAUCCCCGGACUGCGCCUCCAAGAAGGAACACGACACGGAUGUGUCGUCGCCGCCCGAAACAGGGGACCUAGGCUUUCACCUAGCAGGGAACGGAAGGAGGGGAAGAAGGAUCCUCACCACAGCCUCCAGGGAGGAGAACGACGCCCGUGGCGACGCCUGCGAUGUGGCUGCGCCGGCCAGGGGUUUCCCCCGGAUCCAACCCCACUCGACGAGAUCCGUGCUGCCGGCGCCCGAGAAGAACGGCCAAAGCCGCUAGGACCCGGAUCCGGCGAUGGAAGGAGCAGAUCGGGGCGGAGAGGGUGAGAUGCAUCUGGCGGCCGCAACCGCGCAGGGGAGGCCGCACACCGGCGCCCGUGGACCGACGCCUCCUCGUCCCCCGCGAGACCGAGGGAGGCGCCUCACUAGCUCCGGCCGGAAUGGCCCGCUGCCCGGGCCACCCUGCGCUCUCCGCCCGGGGCCGUCGCCCCGGAUGCCGAGACCCUCCACGCGAAGUGGAGCCGCCAGAUCCCCCGCCGCCACCUUCAUCGGUGUCGAGCGCACGCCGGCGCACACCUCUGGCGGCGGCGGAGGGGAAGGGGAGGGGGGAGGAGGGGUGCGGCGGCGGCGGUUAGGGUUUCCCCCGNNNNNNNNNNNNNNNNNNNNNNNNNNNNNNNNNNNNNNNNNNNNNNNNNNNNNNNNNNNNNNNNNNNNNNNNNNNNNNNNNNNNNNNNNNNNNNNNNNNNNNNNNNNNNNNNNNNNNNNNNNNNNNNNNNNNNNNNNNNNNNNNNNNNNNNNNNNNNNNNNNNNNNNNNNNNNNNNNNNNNNNNNNNNNNNNNNNNNNNNNNNNNNNNNNNNNNNNNNNNNNNNNNNNNNNNNNNNNNNNNNNNNNNNNNNNNNNNNNNNNNNNNNNNNNNNNNNNNNNNNNNNNNNNNNNNNNNNNNNNNNNNNNNNNNNNNNNNNNNNNNNNNNNNNNNNNNNNNNNCCUCUCUCUCUCGAUUUGACCUUUUGUUUGCACAAAAGACCAUGGGAGUCGCUCCUUCACGAAACUUUACAUGUGAGUAUAACAUUAGACCAUGUCUUUACACAAAGUUACAGAAUUCUUUAUCAUUUUUGCUAUUUUAAAAAUAUCUUUUCAAUACAGGUGCAUCUAGACCCAGGUUCCACUGGGUAUUUUCGCUCAUUAUACUGCUACUGAAAUAAACAUGUUAGCUUUGGUAAAUAAAAAUACUACUAAUUUAACCCUAAAUGAAAAUAUUCAUCCUUUCUUAAUAAUCUUGUACAAACAAAAAAAAUCAAAGUGCCUAACAUUACAACAUAAAUUAGGAAAAUAAAAUGAUGGAGGCUAUUACUUUGAUAUUAAACUAGUGUUUGUUUAAGAUGUUAGUUUCCCAAAUUUCUGGGAUAACGUACACGCAUAUCUUUGUUUUUAUCUGAUGCUAGACGACUCCAAAUACAUUGCAUGCAUGUGAUCACAAAUAAUAUUAUCGUUUCGCAACAUUGCCGUAUAAAUUCACAUACUACUUCAAAACAUCAGUGUUGAGUCAAUUUCAUCUGCGUGCUUAUGCUUUUUACUUAAUUUUUUUUCAAAAAGGGGUAUCCCCGGCCUCUGCAUCAGAACGAUGCAUACAGCCAUAUUGUUGAUAAGCAAAAGGUUCAAUAAAAGUCUUCAUGUCUGAAGAAAGAAAAGAGACUCACACAGAGCCCAAGCAAAAUAACAGGAUAGCCACAACCGGCAGGCAAAAAGAUAAGAUAGGAAACUAAACAUCUAUCCUAUUACAUGACCGCCAUCCAAACCGGUUGAAAAUAUUCCGUGCUACCGUCUCCCAUCGGAUAGAUCCAGUAACCAGACGCUACCUGGCCUCCGUCGGAGUGAGUAGCGACCACAUACGGAUCAGUGCAGUGGCUCGGAAGAUAACCUGCAAGAAAUGAAUAUUUGUUGUUCUAAUAAAAACCAAAUCAUUUCUGCAGUUCCAAACUGCCCAUAACAAAGCACAUACUCCUACACGGAUAUGUCUCGCUAUUUCUGGUUCUAUCCCAUCUAGCCACGUCCCAAAUAACCUGUUGAUAGUAUUCGGAGGAGUAAUAUUAAAUGCUAUGUGGACCGACCGGCACAGAAUUUUUGCCAAUGGGCAGUCAAGAAAGAGGUGUUUGAUGGAUUCGUCACUACCACAGAAAAUACAUCUUGUGGAUCAUGUCUAGUUGCGUUUUGCCAAAUUGUCCUUAGUUAGAGUGACUUGUUUAUGGACAAACCACAUAAACACUUUGAUUUUUAAAGGCACUUUGACUUUCCAAACAUGUUUCGAACGAGGAAUAGAGCUAGAGUUGAUGACAUCCAAAUACAUGGAUUUAACCGAAAACUCUCCAUUCUUUGUUAGUUUCCAGAGCAACUGGUCGGGCUGUUGAGAUAGGUGAACAUCCAUCAAUCUUCUCACAAGAUGGAGCCAAACUUCCCAACGGUUUCCCGCUAGCGUCCUCCUGAAUUGAAUAUUAAGAGGAUUGGACUGUAAUACUGUUGCAACGUAAGCGUCUCUUCGCUGAGCAAUAUUAUAGAGAGAAGGAUAUUGGAGUGCAAGGGGCGUCUCCCCUAGCCAUGUAUCAUCCCAGAACCUCGUGGUAGUACCAUUUUCAACUACAAAUUUUGUCCUGUUGAAAAAGACUGAUUGCACUCUCAUCAGUCCUUUCCAAAAAGGAGAAUCAGUCGGCCUUACGGUCACCUGAGAUAGUGUUUUGGAUUGAAGGUACUUAUUCCACAGAAUCUGGGCCCACGUGGCAUCCGUCUCUACAGAUAGCUUAUACAACCACUUGCUGAGUAAACAUCUGUUCUUCACCUCUAAAUUUUCAAUGCCGAUACCCCCUUGGUCUUUCGGUCUACAAAUGAUAUCCCCUUUAGCGAGUCUGUAUUUUCGUUUUAAUUCAUCGCUCUGCCAGAAGAAGCGCGAUUGAUAGAAAUAUAGCCUUUUCCGGACUCCAACUAGUACCUCAAAAAAGGACAAGAGAAACAUAGGCAUACUCGUGAGGAUCGAAUUAAUGAGAAUUAGUCGGCCUCCGUAUGACAUAAGCUUGCCCUUCCAGCAGCUUAGUUUUUUUUCAAAUCGAUCCUCAAUGCACUUCCAUUCUUUGUUGGAAAGCUUGCGAUGGUGGAUUCGUAUACCCAAAUACGUGAAGGGUAAAGACCCCAAUUCGCACCCGAACAAUUGUUUGUAAGCUUCUUGUUCAUCUUUAGCUCUUCCAAAGCAGAACAAUUCACUUUUAUUGAAGUUAAUCUUUAACCCCGAGAAUUGUUCGAACAGGCAUAACACAAGCUUCAUGUUCCUUGCUUUUGCCAAAUCAUGCUCCAUGAAGAUGAUAGUAUCAUCAGCGUACUGCAGGAUAGACACUCCUCUGUCAACUAAAUGCGAAACGAGGCCACCUACCUGGUCGUCAUCCUUAGCCCUUCCUAUUAGGAUUGUCAACAUGUCAACCACUAUGUUGAACAGAAUCGGUGACAUCAGGUCUCCUUGCCUCAGACCCUUGUGUGCCUGAAAGUAAUGACCUAUGUGAUCAUUCACUUUGAUUCCAACACUCCCUUUUUGCGUGAAAGAAUCUACCUGGUUUCUCCAGGACUGAUCGAAUCCUUUCAUACGCAAGGCCUGCUGAAGAAAAGGCCAUCUUACCUUAUCGUACGCUUUCUCAAAAUCCACUUUGAAAACCACCCCAUCUAGUUUUUUCGUGUGGAUUUCAUGGAGAAUUUUAUGUAGGACCACAACCCCUUCUAGGAUGUUUCUGUCCGGCAUGAAAGCAGUUUGAGAUGGCUGCACCACAGAAUGCGCAAUCUGCGUAAGCCUAUUAGUCCCAACCUUGGUGAAAAUUUUAAGCUAACAUUAAGAAGACAGAUCGGCCUGAACUGUUCAAUCCGCACGGCCUCUGUUUUCUUAGGAAGCAAAGUAAUUAUUCCGUAAUUCAAGUGAAAUAGCUGCAAAUGUCCAGAAAAUAAAUCAUGGAACAUCGGGAGCAAGUCACCCUUAAUAAUGUGCCAACACUUCUUAUAAAACUCCGCCGGAAAACCAUCCGGCCCUGGAGCUUUAUUAUUCUUCAUUUCUGAAAUUGCCUCAAACACCUCUUUCUCCGAAAAUGGGGCGGUCAAAAUAUCGUUCUCAUCCCUUCUAGCUGAGGCACAUCCUCAGCCCUCGACUCAUCCAAGGAUACAAAAUUAUCCUCAGGCGGCCCAAACAACUGCUUAUAGUAAUUGGUGAUGUAUAAUUUUAGGUUCUCCUGUCCUAAAAUCGUCCCCUCAUCUUGCUCGAGCUGAAAGAUUCUCUUCUUUCGAUGCUUGCCAUUCGCAAUCAUAUGGAAGAAUUAAGUGUUAUCAUCCCCUUGGACGAUUUUGCGAACUUUAGCUCGCAGUGCUCACUUCAAUUCCUCUUCUCGAAGCAGUUCUUUCAGUCUCAUUUCCGCCUCCACUUUAGUUUCCAGCUCCCUGGUAUCUAGAAUGGAGGACUCGACUUUUAAAUCUAGGGAUUGACUAAGUAAAAGGAGCCUUUCCUUUUCAACCUUAUAAAUCCCACUUAAAUGUUUGGCCCAUCCACGUAAGAAACGUCUUAGGUGUCUUAUCUUGUUUUGCCAUCUUUGAACAUUCGACCUCCCUCCUGAAUCUUUAGCCCAUUCUCUCGCUAUCAGAUCUAGGAACCCUUCUCUUUCAAGCCACGCUAAUUCGAAAGAAAAAGUGUUCUUGUUCCCCAGGUGCGUUGCCUCUCCAGAGUCAACCAGCAACGGUGUAUGGUCGGAAAUCGCGCGUGAUAAUGCUUGGACUGUCACCAGGGGAAAUUUCAGCUCCCAUUCGACGCUAGCAAGGACACGAUCCAACUUCUCAAAUGUCGGGAUUGGUAACGUAUUGGCCCAAGUGAAUUUUCUACCGGACAGCUCUAUCUCUCUAAGAUCCAAACUUUCAAUGAUUGUAUUAAACAUAAACGACCAUCUGCCGUCAAAGUUAUCAUUGUUUUUUUCCUCCCGUCUUCGAAUAAUGUUAAAAUUGCCCCCAACCAGAAUUGGGAGCUGCUCGCUACCACAAAUACGGACUAGAUCCGCCAAAAAGUCUCGUUUUAGUUCAGGCUGCGUGGCGCCAUACACCGCCACCAAAGCCCAAUUAAACCCAUCAGCCUUCGAUCUGACCUGAAACUUAACUGCAAAAUCACCCAUAACCACAUUGCGGACUUCCAACGUAUCGCAUUUAACCCCAAGUAAAAUCCCACCGGAUCUUCCUCUUGGAGGUAGGCAAUGCCAAUCGAAUUCGACACCUCCCGAUAAAGUACUAAGAAACUGGGGAGUAAAAUUAUCCCUGCCAAUUUCGGAGAGGGCGAUAAAUUCCAACUUGUGUUCUAUAGAAGCAUCCGCUAGAAACCUUCUUUUAGCCAAGUCCUUAAGACCUCUGCUAUUCCAAAAGAUUCCUUUCAUACUUCAUCAUGAAAUUUUUUAGUGGCCCGGAUCCUAGCACUUCUACGCACAGCCGAAGCCGGAUAAAUCUUUUGUUUCCACUUGCAUUUAGGCUUGUUUUGUUCCUCUACUCGGUCCUCACAACCAAGCUCAGUUGACCUAACCACCUGAGAAUCUGCAAGAAUGGAAUCCCUAGGGGAGAUAGAACACUCAUCCUCCUCAGUUUCAGGAAGAGAGGGUGCAAGAUCCACACAAAAGCUAUCAAGUAUCCUAACUCCCAACGCAUCUACAUCCGAGUCGUUCAUAGGUUUAACAGCCGCUAAGUUUUGAAUCAUUUCUAAGGCACGUUCCGCUUCAGAUCUAGGUUAUCAUUAAUGGAUUUAGAAAUUUCACUACCAUUACUACCUAGUGAAACUCCCAACUGAUUUGCAUUAUGAAUAAUCUCAUCAUUAGAAAAAUGCAAAAAAGAAUUGGAGGUGUUGACUGACAUACCCAUAGUGACCUCAAUGUCACGAAGCUUGGCCGCCCGCAUGGUGCACCUUAGCUGCAUGUCAUCAACAUCCGGCUGAUCCUGGAGGCGACAACUCAUCCAUCGACCUUCGGACACAGGAUCCGGAAUCCCUCCAAAGGCGAUGAUGUCAUCCCGCGUUUAAUUUUUAUGUGUUUAGCUCUUAAAUUAGCACAGAAAUGUGUGUUUCCACUUCAGAUAACAAUGCCCUGGUGGUGAACCGAACCACAUGGCUUUGGGAUGUGGUCGCUUUGGGGAGUUCUUUUUGUGAAAGAAAGGAAGGAUUGCUUGAAAUAUAUAAUGGGGGGCAGGGGAGGGUGAAGGCUUUCGCUGGAGUGGUUGGGUUGGGGGAGGGCAGUUAGCUCGGAUAGAUACAAUCUUGCAUUCUUUCUGAUUGAUGGUACAAUCUUGGGCUAUUGUUCAGGUAAUGUGUCAGGUGAAAACGAUCAAUAUUAGUUGAGUGGUGAAAUUGGGUAAGAACAAAAAAGAUUGGUUCAAGAAUUGGAUCAGUAUAAAAAUGUCUAGAAGUUAGGUAGUUCUUAGAUGAUUGACAUUUGCUGACAGAAUAGCCUCAUUAGUUUAGGGGCAACGAGACAUCACCUGAGAGGGUGGUGAUUACGGCAUGGGAUACCGGGGAUGAUCGUGUGGGACACAAUGUUGUUCUAGCUUUCAGGAUUGGACCAGGAUUAAUUUGGAUUCAUAUACUAGACCUACUUGCAUUCAUCCUAGGAGUUACUAACAAUGGUUGCUUUAUGUUAGGUCUGAUAAAUUUUAAGUAGUAGCACGGAGGCACUUCUGCACUGGACAAAUCUAACGAUGUUUUAGCUGGUGAGAANNNNNNNNNNNNNNNNNNNNNNNNNNNNNNNNNNNNNNNNNNNNNNNNNNNNNNNNNNNNNNNNNNNNNNNNNNNNNNNNNNNNNNNNNNNNNNNNNNNNNNNNNNNNNNNNNNNNNNNNNNNNNNNNNNNNNNNNNNNNNNNNNNNNNNNNNNNNNNNNNNNNNNNNNNNNNNNNNNNNNNNNNNNNNNNNNNNNNNNNNNNNNNNNNNNNNNNNNNNNNNNNNNNNNNNNNNNNNNNNNNNNNNNNNNNNNNNNNNNNNUAUAUUACUCAAAAGCCGCCAAGGCAGCAAGCACAGAAUUACAAAGGCACCGCGCAGCGUGCAGAGAGGUAGGAACGCCACGAGGAGACGUCCUCCUUGUCACAUGUUGCCAUGAGACGAUGUGACCAAAGGUCUAGGUCAAAGAUAAGAGCCCUGAGGGUUAUUACAGAACGUUGGUCAAUGUUUCUAAACAACAUGUCAUUGCACGCAGCCCAUAUCUUCCAAAGGAGAGACAUGAGAAUAAUUGGCCAAGUCUUGUGUGGCAGGUGGUGAGGUAAUGGAGUGUCCCAAAGGUCGAUGAUGUCCUCCACCUGUGGUAGGAUGCCUACCCGCUGCCAGACUCGGUUGGCAAGGGGGCAGGUGAGAAAGAGAUGCAUGGAGUCCUCAGGUAGCAUGGCACAACGAGGACAUAUGUCUGUGGAGAUGAUCUGCUUGUGGGCAAGGUUGGCCCUGGUGUUGAGACGAUCCUUGAAGAGGAGCCAGGCAAAAAAAAAAUCUUGCGUGGAACCUUGGAGCGCCAAAUGAGGGGAGCAAGAGGAUCACUAUCCAGGCCAUGAGUGUGCCGUACGCAUGCUUGGUGGAGAAGGCAAGACCCCGAAGUAGAAACCUUUGGUCUUCCUCAGCCGAGGGAACGAAAUCCUGCAAAACAGCCAACAACGCAACAAGCUCUUGCUCUGCCAGAAGGGAGAGACGGUUAAGGAGGUUAGCUUCUAAACCGUAUCGCAGCACAUUAGCCAGCUUAACCAGCUGAAGAGUGGAGUGUGAGAACAGGUGAGGAAAGUGUGAGCUAGAGGUGUUGGGGUGAGCCAAGUGUCGUGCCAGAAAUAAGUGUGGGUCCCACUGUUUGUUAGGACGAAGGAGAUGGACUGUAGAGUGGGUAUUUGCUGCGCAAUGGUACGACAGAGAAAGGAGUUUUGGGGUGGGGGUGAGACUAGUGCAUUUGGGUGUUGAAGAUCCAACCAUUCCAGCUAGGGGGUGGAGGAGGAUGUCAGGGCCUUGGCUGCAAAUUUCAUGAGCAAGCAUUUAUUCUGAAGAUGCAAGUUUUUGAGUCCUAGACCACCAUAUUUUUUCGGAAUACACACGUUUUUCCAUGCAAUAAGGCAUUGGGCUCCUGAACAUGAAUCCUCACCCUCCCAAAAGAAAGCUCUACGAAUGGAGUCUAGGGUUUUUAAAACCUUUUUGGGGAUACGAAAGACUGACAUGAAGUAGGUGAGGAGGGAGUCGAGGACUGCGGAGAUAAGAAUGAGGCAAUCACCUUUGUCAAGCAGCUUAGCACGCCAACCAGCCAGCAGCAUGCGGGAGCGUUCUAGGAGGGGAUCGAAGGCAUUGGAUGGAGGCUUAGUAGGGGAGAGAGGGAGGCCAAGGUAGGUUUGGGGGAAGGGGGCGCGUGAGCAGCCCAUGGCAAGGGCGGUGUCGUUAGCAACGGUGUCAUCUGUGUGUAGGGUUGCAAGCGUGGUUUUGGAGAAGUUGAUGGUUAGCCCAGUAACGUUGGCAAAGUUGGUUAGGAUUACUCUUAGUGGUGCAGCAAAUACGUAGAAGCCGAACACGAAUACGUGGUGAGAGGGUAUAUCAUUCUUGAUUACUAGAUCAAUGUCUAUAUAUGUCUCUAAGUUGUCCAAAUCACAAAGUAAAAAUGUAGAGAGAUCUGAAAAAUCACUGCUGCAGUAUAACUGGAUGCACUCUGUUUGGUUGGAAAAUAAGAAAUUAAACAAAAUCAUAGCCUUGCAAUUGAGUGGGAUGGAUUUAGAUCAUUUCUCAUGGUUGGCUUGAUGGAAGGCCGGCAGAAUAUACACGAAACAUAAAGCUUGGCUGAAAUAUCUACACUUGUGUUUCCCUCACUCGGGCCCCACAAAUUCACCUGCACACAUGAUUAUAUAAGUUGCCACUCGUCUAGGCACAAUACGGUAAUAGUUAAUUAAGCCCACCGCAAAGUGUUUAUUUGCUCCUGUUAUUGUGAUUGUGAUGAUAUGAUCAUAAAAAAAAUAGUCAAAUGGACGCAAGCUACGACAUGGAAGGUGGAAAAAUCUAACAAUGCCUUUGCAUAAAAUUCUCAUAAUGUUACAUCAUGAUAGUACAACUCAGACCAUAGGACAACAUGCCUUAUGGCGAGCACAGUCCCAAGACACCUUACUUGCCGGGGACAAAGUUGGUGGCGAAUGCCCAUGCAUUGUUGUUGACAGGGUCGGCGAUGUGGUCAGCAAGGUUCUCA